UUAUGUGAAUGAGUGGUAGACUAAUAGUAGCACUGAGGCUAAACAAUAAAUAUAGUGCACUGCUGCAUUGCAGCGAUAAAACCAACUCCUAGCAGGUUAAAUAUCAUGCCUUGACAAGCCAGCCACCUAAUCACAAGUCAUGAACGAAAACACCUAGCACUAGCAGGUUACGAACCAAGUAAAUAUCAUGCCUUGCCAAGCCAGCCACCUAAUCACAAGUCAUGGAACACAAACUCCUAGCAGGUUGAUUAUCAUGUCACCACAAUAUUCAUCAUGAUAUACUACUUAGGUUCGCAAAACCAGCAGGUCCUCCAUCAGCCAAGAUCAUCUAUGAACCGUAUUUCUAGCAGCGGUCGAUGACAACAUGCCACAGUGUGCUCUUGACGACUUUGAAGGUGCAGAUGUCUCCUGCCUUGAGCUCGUUCUCCUUACAGAAGGCCUUCCAGCCUCUCGUAAGACACCUUCCACCUCCCAAGACUUGUUCCUCUCCACGGACUUGAGCGUGAUCUUGCAACGCUCCAGGAAUCCGAAGCGCGCUGGAAAAUGCUGCAAGCCAUUGCGAUCGCACGGGUUAUUUGUAUCACAGUUCGUGGGUGUAUGAUGACAAAUAUUAUGCACCGAGUUGAUAAUAAACUGGCAUGUCAAGUAGUUUGAUUGGUUGGUUGGUUCCCUUAUUUCCAAAAGGUGCACUCUUAUUUCUUACUCUCUUUUUCAAAUAAUGAUUGUACUUACAAGAUAUCUUUUAAGCGCGAGUUCGUUGAUCUCCUUCCUUAACCAAGCCUGCGACCCCAUCGACCCAAGCUCACAGAGAGCCUUCUUUCGGUGUUGUGAAGUUGUGGAUCCGUCUAGCAUGCUUUUGACUUCGCUUUGUUUCCUUUUCCGGGUGCAAACAUGUUCUUCCUCUUGGCUUUGUGCUCCAGGUGCUAAGAGGACAAUGGUAGUAAUCAAUUUAAUCUAUUACCAAGACAUAUAGUUUUUCAGAAAAAGUUGAGGCUUGUUUCAUACUUUUGCCAUUGCUUUGUUUCCUUUUCUGAGUGGACACAGGUUCUUCUUCUUGGCUUGUGCUCCAGGUGCUAAGAGGACAAUGGUAGUAAUCAAUUUAAUAUAUUACCAAGAUAUAGUUGUUCAGAAAAGAUGAGGCUUGUUUCAUACUUUUGCCAUUGCUUUGUUUCCAUGUCCGAGUGGAAACAUGCAUGUUCUUCCUAGUUUUUCAGAAAAGUUGAAGCUUGUUUCAUGCUGGAAUUUUGUCUAUUUUGGGCCAGCCCAAUAGCAGUUUCAGAAAUUUCUAAUAAAUUCUAGAGGUCCACGCAGCCCAUUCGUGCAAGGCAAGAGGUGGAACUAAAGUUUAGUCCCACAUUGCUAGUUUAGAGGGAGUUGGACCUCUUUAUAAGGGAGGUUCUUUCCCCACAUGUAUGAGCAUGAGAACAAGAGGGACAUUCAUGCGCGCUCCUCCUCCGCCGCCCGCCGCGCCGCUGGUUGCGGGAAUGAGCCGAUGUCUAAAUUUUUGCCAUGCACUAUGGGUAUACGGAAGCUGAAAAGAUUUUUACGAUAGUGGAGUUUGAAUGCGAACGGUACAGCCCUUCGGCUGCUGGCUGUUCGCUUCAUCUCCGUCUCUUCGUUUCGCCUCCCGUCGCUGCCCUCUCGCCUCCUUCUCUUGCGCCUAUAAAAGGGAGGUCGCUCCUCUCAGAGAGACGCACCAGAACUACUUUCUCCUCUCGCCACCGGUUCUUGAACACUGCGCUGCUGCUAUGAUCUUCCUCAUCCUGGCUUGCGGCGUGCACCGCAGGUCGGGACAGUAGGCCUUUGAAACCGCACCUCUUUGAGUCCUGUACGGGAGAAAGGUGAUAAGGUUUUUGGGGAGCACUUUGCGUGACUACUGACUUCUUCGUCACGGAUGCCCCAGACUCAGAUGACUGCUUCCCCAAUGACGACGUCGACAACCUCUUCGACGACAUGGCCACCGAGGAUGUCGACCCCAAGUCCAGUGCCUCUGCUUCUGCUUUGUCCCGUACGUGUUUUUGUUUUUCCUGUUAGAGGUCCUGUCACAGUUCCUUGUUCUAGUGUUUGCCCUAGACAUGUUAGGCUCUACUUCAUUUAUGCAUCUUGAUCUACUGUCUGCUCUAGAGAUGAUCGGUUCUAGCUCCUAUAUGCAGAUGUUAUUUACCUUCUCUUUGUCAAAUCGCAUGGUUUGUUUUAUCACUGCUAUACUAGUCAUGCUUUAUCUAGUAUUUCUGUUAAUAAAAUCAUUCGGUAAAUCUCUCAUAUUUCCAACAUUUCGUACUUAUGCCAUUGCUUUGUGUCCUUCUCUGAGUGGAAACAUGUUCUUCCUCUUGGCAUUGUGCUGCAGGUGCUAAGAGGACAAUGGUAGUGAUCAAUUAAAUCUAUUACCAAGAUAUAUUUUUCAGAAAAAAUUGUUUACUCACAUUACUCGCUUUGCUGAGAUGAGCUUAUUUUUUUCCUCGGUGUGCUCAUUAUUCCCAUUUUGGAAGGUCUCGAAUGAGAAGUUCAUGCACCCCUGAUACUUGAUCAACAGGACAUCGGUUUCAGCAAUUUUAAUGUAGGCCAGAAACUUUAGCCAUUCGGAACCAGUGAAGAAGACAUUCGGGCCAUCCUUCUUGAGCUCGAUAUGCCAGGAUUUUAAAAAAGUGGCUAUUGGUCUCGGUCUGUUCAGGUCUUCUUUCAAGAUGUAUCCUCGUUGCAGAAACUCGGGAGGAAUAGGCUACGAGGACAGGUGAAACAGCAUAAUGGAGUGAAUAUAUUCAACAUCUUAAAGAUGGUGCACUUAAGGACUUGGUUCUGAACAUUUAAACAAGAAAAGUAAGCAAACCAUCUUUUUCAUGAAACUUCUGUGAAGUGGCACAAUGAACUGUGGCUUACGAGCAAAGGCGUUCUCAAUCUCAGCUGGGCUCAAAACUAAACAUGAACAAGAGUGAAUUAGCUAUGAAUUUUUAGGCCGAAAGUACGAGUAACUGUGAAAGUCCAAACACACCAGUGAUUGUUAGGCCGAACUCUUUAAUGACAAAGCUGGCGUUGAAUGCCUUUAGAGUGAGCACGCCGCAUCCUUCAUGCACUAGUAGAAAACAGGGCUUUCGUUCGGGCUAGUUAAGCCCAUUAGUCCCGGUUCAGUCACAAACCGGGACCCAUGGGCCCAUUGAUCCCGGUUCGUGAGGCCAGGGGGUCUGCCGGGCCUCGUGGAGGCAUUGGUCCUGGUUCGUCUGGCCCCUUUGGUCUCGGUUGUUGGGACGAACCGGGACCAAUGGGCCUCGCUCCUGGCCCACCACCAUUGGUCCCGGUUGGUGGCCUGAGCCGGGACCAAAGGGUGGUCUUUAGUACCUGGUCAAGCCACGAACCGGGACCAGUGAACUAGCCAGGGGAGAGGGCUUUUGUGUGUAAAACAUUAAAAGCAAAAAGAAUUUUCAUAAAAUAAAUAAAAAAGCAAAAAAGAAAAUAAAAUAAAUAAGUAGAAACAAAAUAAAAUAGAUAAGUAGAAACAGAAAAAACUUUAAUAAAUAAGUACAAACAAAAUAAAUUUAAUAUAGUAAAAUAAAUAAACUAUAAUAAAAUAAAUAAAAAUAGCAACAGUAAGUAGAAACAAAAUAAAACAAAUAAAGCAAAAAAGAAAGAAUUUUCAUAAAAUAAAUAAAAAAGCAAAAAAGAAAAGAAAAUAAAUAAGUAGAAACAAAAUAAACUUUAAAAAAGUAAAAAAAAUUAUAAAACCUAUAGUAUUAUUGAAACUAAAAUUUAUGCAACUAAAAUUAUCAACGUAUUUUCUGUUCAAAACAUUAAAAGAAAAAAGAAUUUUCAUAAAGAAAUUUUUUGUUAGAAAACUUUAAUAGCAAAAAGAAUUAUCAUAAAGAAUUUUUUGUUAGAAACUAAAAUAACAAAAUAUGUUUUUGCAUAUAAUGAUAAAACACAGUAAUAUUAAAUAGCAGGAAAAAGAAUCACUCAAAAAUCUAAGUUUAUAGUAAAGUUAUUCAAAAACUAGUGAUUCACACAAAUUUCAAAAAAUUCAAAUUUAAACUAUUCAAAUUGGAAAACAAAUUGCACUAACAGAAAGUUUAUAAUUUUUAUUACCUAAAAGAAAAAGGAACUAAAAAAUAAAGCAAAAAACAAAAUAAAAUAAAUAAUGCAAAAACAGAAGAAAAAAACUGGGAAAAAUUAAAAAAAAUGCCACCUACUAGGCCACUACGACGUGAAUACGACUAUAAACCCUACGAUGGGCCAAGAUUCAGGCCCGCAGAAGGCCCAAUAGGGCCAAGAGGCAUAGCAGUGAUAAUUAGGCCCGUAAGCCUGCAAUCGAGAGGAGCUCGAGAGGGGUGCGGCAGUGGGGCUUAUAAACCACUCCGCGCCCCUCUCAACUAGCAAGGUGGGACUAAAGUUUUGGCCACAGGCAGCACGAGGUUUGGUCCUGGUUCGUGGCCCCAACCGGGACUAAAGGUGGGCAUUGGUACCGGUUCAUGGGACCAACCAGGACCAAUGCCCCCCUUUAGUCCCAGUUGGUGCCACCAACCGGGACCAAAGACCUCUGCUUCCCGCCCUUUGGGCUGCUGAAAAGAGACCUUUGGUCCCGGUUGGUGGCACCAACCGGGACUAAAGGGUGGCAUUGGUCCCGGUUGUUGUCACUAACCGGGAUUAAAGGCUUUGGUAUAUAAGCAAACACUUGUGAAAAUUUNNNNNNNNNNNNNNNNNNNNNNNNNNNNNNNNNNNNNNNNNNNNNNNNNNNNNNNNNNNNNNNNNNNNNNNNNNNNNNNNNNNNNNNNNNNNNNNNNNNNNNNNNNNNNNNNNNNNNNNNNNNNNNNNNNNNNNNNNNNNNNNNNNNNNNNNNNNNNNNNNNNNNNNNNNNNNNNNNNNNNNNNNNNNNNNNNNNNNNNNNNNNNNNNNNNNNNNNNNNNNNNNNNNNNNNNNNNNNNNNNNGCCUCUCCGAGCAAUGCCCCGACGCCCUAGCCGGCCCGCGGUCGCCCUCGUCGUCGCUGCCCGCUCCUCGUCGCCGCCGCCCCGGCCCAUGCCCCUGCCCUGACGCGCCGCCCCUGCCCUGACGCCGCCCCACGCCCCUGGCCUGCCCCGACCACACGCCACCGCCAUGUUCGGUCCGGCCGGUGCUACAUCUUGAGCUUGCGUUGGUUUUCCUUGAAGAGAAAAGGGUGAUGCAGCAAUAGUAGCGUAAGUAUUUCCCUCAGUUUUUGAGAACCAAGGUAUCAAUCCAGUAGGAGGCUCCUCAAAAUUCCCACGCACCUACACAAACAGACAAAGAACUCGCAACCAACGCAAUAAAGGGGUUGUCAAUCCCUUCAGGGCCACUUGCGAAAGUGAGAUCUAAUAGAGAUAGUAUGAGAAGAUAAAUAUAUUUUUGGUAUUUUAUAAUAUAGAUGCAAAAAGUAAAGAUGCAAAUUAAAGUAGAUUGGAAGCAAAUAUGAUAAGAGAUAGACCCAGGGGUCAUAGGUUUCACUAGUGGCUUCUCUCAAGAUAGCAUAAGUAUUACGGUGGGUGAACAAAUUACUGUCGAGCAAUUGAUAGAAAAGCGAAUAAUUAUGAGAUUAUCUAGGCAUGAUCAUGUAUAUAGGCCUCACGUCCGUGACAAGUAGACCGACUCCUGCCUGCAUCUACUACUAUUACUCCACACAUCGACCGACUCCUGCCUGCAUCUAGAGUAUUAUGUUCAUAAGAACAAAGUAACGCUUUAAGCAAGAUGACAUGAUGUAGAGGGAUAAACUCAUGCAAUAUGAUAUAAACCCCAUCUUUUUAUCCUUGAUGGCAACAAUACAAUACGUGCCUUGCAACUCUUUAUGUCACUGGGUAAGGACACCACAAGAUUGAACCCAAAGCUAAGCACUUCUCCCAUGGCAAGAAAGAUCAAUCUAGUAGGCCAAACCAAACUGAUAAUUCGAAGAGAUUUGCAAAGAUAACUCAAUCAUACAUAAAAGAAUUCAGAGAAGAUUCAAAUAUUAUUCAUAGAUAAACUUGAUCAUAAACCCACAAUUCAUCGGAUCUCGACAAACACACCGCAAAAAGAGUUUACAUCGAAUAGAUCUCCACGAGAGAGGGGGAGAACAUUGUAUUGAGAUCCAAAAAGAGAGAAGAAGCCAUCUAGCUAAUAACUAUGGACCCGAAGGUCUGUGGUAAACUACUCACAACUCAACGGAGGGGCUAUGAUGUUGAUGUAGAAGCCCUCCGUGGUCGAUUCCCCCUCCGGCGGAGCGCCGGCGAAGGCUCCAAGAUGGGAUCUCGCGGAUACAGAAGGUUACGGCGGUGGAAAUUGUGUUCCGUUGGCUCCAUGGAUGUUUUCGGGGUACGUAGGCUUAUAUAGGAGGAAGAAGUACGUCGGUGGCCGCCCGAGGGGCCCACGAGACAGGGGGCGCGCCCUAUAGGGUGGGCGCCCUACCCUCUCGUGGCCGCCUCGGCUGCGUCUUGACUUGCACUCCAAGUCCUCUGAAUCACGUUCGUUCCAAAAAUCAUGCUCCCGAAGGUUUCAUUCCGUUUGGACUCCGUUUGGUAUUCCUUUUCUUCAAAAUACUGAAAUAGGCAAAAAAAACAGCAAUACAGGCUGGGCCUCCGGUGAGUAGGUUAGUCCCAAAAAUGAUAUAAAUGUGUAAAAUAAAGCCGAUAAACAUCCAAAAGGGGUAAUAUAAUAGCAUGGAACAAUCAAAAAUUAUAGAUACGUUGGAGACGUAUCAGCCGGCUUCCUCUCUGGGUUUUUUUUCAGAUUUUUUGUUAAUAUAUAUGACAAUUUGUUUUUUGCAUUUUUAUAAAAAUGUAUAUAUAUGUAUGUAUGUUCUCUGUCUAUACAUGUUCGUAUAUGCAAAAGUUAGAUUUUUAGAAAAGUUUUAUCUAUGUAUGUUCUCUGAUUUAGCGCAUUUUAGGUUAGUUUCAUUUUUAGAAAAGUUUUAUAUAUUUAGGAAGAAGGAAGAGAAGGAAGAAGGAAGAAGAAGAAAAAGUUUCAUAUAUGGAAAAUUUACAUUUUUAGAAGAAAAUUGUAUAUCUAGCUAGGAAGAAGGAAGAAGGAAGAACAAGAAGAAAAACUUUUAUAUAUGCAAAAGUUACAUUUUAGAAAAGUUUUAUCUAGGAAGAAGGAAGAAGGAAGAAGAAGAAAAAGAAGGAGAAGAAAAAGGAAAAUAAUAAGAAGAGGAAGAAGGAGAAGAAGACGGAGAAGAAGAGGAGAGGAAGAAGAGGAUAAAAAAAUAAGAAUAGGAAAAAAAGAGGAGAAGAAAAAAGGAAUAGAAGAGAAAAAGAAAAAAUAGAGUAAUUUCUAUUUAUUUUCUUCACCUCUAUUCCUUUCUUCUUCUCCACUUUUUUUUCUUUAUCGGGUAUGUCGUUGUCGAUAUACCACCUUCCCAAUAACUUUGACAUGAGGGGGGGGUCAAUAUACCCCCUCCCCAAUAACUUCGACAUGAGGAGGAAUAGGGGUCGAGGGGUCGAGGGUUAGAGGGUCGUCGAGGGUUCGAGGGUUCGAGGGUUCGAGGGUUCUAGGGUUCUAGGGUCGAGGGUUCUAGGAAAAUGCAAAAUUUAGAAGUUUAAAUGUUCAUAGAAUUUUUUUGGUGAUAUUAUUGUCGAAUAUACAAAUGUUUGUAUGUUCCUAUGUAAAGAAUAUGUCAUUUUUUCUAGUAGAUGAUGAUGAUGAUAUAUGAAAACUUGGUGAAUUUUUUCUGUUGUAAUUUUGUUCGAUGAAUGUUUUCUGUUGAAACUCGUAUUAAGUUUGUUCGAUGAAUGUUUCAUGGGAGAGAGGGAGUAAAAACUCAUCAGACAUGAGGGGGGAGGAGUCACCCUCCGGUUCCUAACUCUCUCGGGAAUUCAACAUAUAUUCAACAUGAGGCGGGGGGGGGGGGCGAUACCCCCUCCCCGAUAACUUCGAUAUGAGGGGGGGUCGAUAUACCCCCUCCCCGAUAACAUUUUUUUCCAUGUAUGUAUGUCGUCGUUGUCAAUAUACCCUCUCCUUUACCAAGUUAAAAGAGCGUUGUCGUCGAGGCCACCCCGAACCCUUUAAGCGUUGCCGAGGCCACCCCAAACCCUAGAGAAGCGUCGAGGCCAUUAAUUAAUAUAAUUCCUUGUUGUGAAUAGCUAUAGCUAGGUCUACGUUUGCCACUAAUAUAUCCAUCUGUCAUGUUUGUAUAAUAAUUGCCAUGUUGUAAUAUUUGUAGAAACUAUGGAGCACGGCCGAGACGGGGAAGUAGAACGGGUGUUGGGGGACAUAAUUGCAGCUGGAGCUGAUGUCAUGUCGUAUCUCAACGAAACCAAUGGUCUGGAAGGAGAGGGUGAAGAAGUAGGCUACGGUUAGAACAACGGAGGAGUAAGGACAUGAUUAUGAUGGCUCCGGUGAUCGAAUGCCGGUGCAAGAAGGAGGCCGUGAUGACGACUCCGGUGACCGAACAGAGUCCGACCAGGUAUAUAUAUUAAUUAGGCCUGUGCUGACUAGCUAAUUGAUGCAUUCAUUGUUUUGGUAUCUACACAUAUUAACUCUCGUCUUUCUUCUUAUUUCUAGCCCUUCGGAUCGAGCACAACUUUGGUAAAGAGACAAGGCCCGAAGAAAAGUUGCGCUCAGAAGAAAGGUUCACGAUCACAGCAAUCGCGCGCGAUGGCCAAUAGAUUGAACCCCUCCGGACCAAGGAGGCAUUUACUGCUCAGUGCGGGGUUCUUGUUAGGGACAUGAUCCCGAUCAGCAUCGAGCUAUGGAAUCAGCCUAAGGAUGAAGAGCUUCAAGUUUCUUUUGUCGAAGAUAGACAGAAAGAUGAUCUUUGGAAAGCGCUGAAGGUAAAUUUCACCCCACUGGAAGAGGAGGAUCCGUAGAAUCCAGUUAUGGAGCCAAUGAUCAAGUCGUUUGCAUUCAAGAAGAUGGCAGAUCUAUUUAGGAGGUGGAAGAAUGAGCUGAAAGCAAAGUUUGUCGAUAAAAAAAAGACACCAGAAUUCGUCGGCCGAUUUGAGAAGCUCAGAGAUCAAUGGGACGCAUUUGUGGACAACAAUACAUCGGAGAGGAGUAAGAAGAUGUCAGCGAUAAACAAGAUAAAUGCUGCGAAGAAGGAGCAUCACCAUCGCACAGUGUCAGGUAGCUACCUCAAAGCCCGACCGUUGUGGGCCAAGGCUGAGAACGACCUGCUUGAUAAAGGGGUCGAACCAGAGACAUUGAACUGGCCAGACCGUUGCCGGACUUGGUUCUUCGGGGUUGGCGGAACCUUGGACCCUGUAAUAGGGAAGUGCAUUUGGACGAGGGAGCAACUGUGAAUACCCCUCAUGAAGCUUCAACACUAUAUUAACGCAGCGCAGGAAGUGACGUUCAUUCCAGACAGAGAGAAGGACGAGCUCAUAAUGGCCCUCGGGAAUCCUGAGCACCCUGGACGGACACGAGGCACGCCAGACUUCGUUCCGUGGAAGCCUGAGUUUCCGGACACAGGCGGUUACAAAUGCCAAGAGAGGAUGAGGAAGGUGGAGCAGAGCGAACUGCAGGAGCUGCACACAAGGGUACAAAAGCUAGAGGAACGAGAUGCAGUUUGAAGCAAGCGACCUGCCGAAGCUACCCCGACAUCUCAGCGGAGAAGCAGCGUGGCUUCCACCGAGCUACUUUAGGUGGAGCCUGUCUUCAUGGCUCCUGCUAGCUACCCCGUGGAUGCUAUCACAUUGUCUCAACAUUGCCACCUUAUGACGCAAUGGCAGAAGUACAAAGUCAAGGCGGCUGUCGGUUCUGUUUGACCUCCUAAACCAGGCGCAACUUUUCACUGCCGUCCAAUUCCAAAAGGAUAUGCUAGGGUGACGGUGGAAGAAAUAACGAAGGGAUUUGAGGAGCUCUUGCUUGACCACCCUACCGGUGAAGGGGAGACUCGGCUAGGUUCUGCUUUGAAUACUCCAUGCCUAUGGCGGAAGGAGCUCAUCAACCUUCCGAACUGGACGCCUUCGCCUCCUCCUCCUCCUCCAGCGAGUCAGGGCACUCCGCCUCCUCCUCCGCCUGCUCCUCCGGCGAGUGAUCAGGGCACUCCGCCUCCUUCUCCACCUGCGCCGGCGCGCCCGACCAGCCAGCCUCCUCCAUCUCCGCCUUGUCAGCAAGGGCGGAAGAGACCUGCCGCCACUCCAGCUGCUCCGACGCGUCGCAAUCCUUCUCCUCCGCCUCAUAAGCAACUAAAGAAGAAAGCCGCAGUCGCUCGGCCUGCUCCGGCGUCUAGCAGUACAGGCGGGAGGCAAUACAUAUUCGGUCCAUCUCUCAAGACUCCAGAGGAGUUACCAUACGAGAUGACUGUCGGUGUCAAAACCGGCGGAUCUUGGGUAGGGGGUCCCGAACUGUGCGUCUAGGCGGAUGGUAACAGGAGACAAGGGACACGAUGUUUUUACCCAGGUUCGGGCCCUCUCGGUGGAGGUAAAACCCUACUCCUGCUUGAUUAAUAUUGAUGGUAUGGGUAUUACAAGAGUUGAUCUACCACGAGAUCAGAGAGGCUAAACCCUAGAAGCUAGCCUAUGGUAUGAUUGUUGUUCGUCCUACGGACUAAAACUCUCCGGUUUAUAUAGACACCGGAGAGGGCUAGGGUUACACAGAGUCAGUUACAAUGGGAGGAGAUCUUCAAUCGUAUCGCCAAGCUUGCCUUCCACGCCAAGGAAAGUCCCUAUCCGGACACGGGACGGAGUCUUCAAUCUUGUAUCUUCAUAGUCCGGGAGUCCGGCCAAAGGUCAUAGUCCGGCCAGCCGGACACCCCCUAAUCCAGGACUCCCUCAAUGACCGAGAAGGAAAACGAGGAGAUCUGUCAAGCCUAAGUGAAGGACUACUUCGCAAUGCAAAGAGCUAAGGGACAUCCACCUUCGGAGGAGAAGAUAGAUCCGGUGAAAGCAAAGCGCACUUUGGAUGCCCUGCAGCGACCACCACCGCCUCCGCCGCAAACCAACUAUGAGUGCAUUACUGAAAAGACAUAUAAGGAAGCGAAGUGGUCGGGAAGUACUUGAAGUGACAAAAGGUUACAAGAACGAAGAACUGGGAAAAAAAUUCCCCAGCUCGACGAACAAGCAAACCAAUCGUGCCCCCCGCUCAAGGUGUCUAGCGAUAUCGUCGCUAAUCAUCCGGGGAUCUUGCCCGGUACCAAUCCUGGAGAUUACGACGAUGCACAUUUUGAUAUAAUGGAGGUGGACGAAUUCAAAUACGAGUACGGGAAGCCUCUCGUCAAAGAUAGAACUACUCUAACAAUGAUGAUGCGAAGAUUCCAUGAUUGGUACAUGGAAACCUGCAGAAAGCAGUCAGCUGGGAAGAAAAUCGAUACUUUGACGCUGAAAGUUAAAGAGGAUCAACACGACCUCUUUGGAAUUAAGGAGUUGUCUGUUCCAUUUGAGGAGUUCUUCCAGUUUUUUAAUCUAAAGGCCCUCGACAAAUUAACGGUCACUUGCUAUUGUCUGUAAGUACUACUUCUGUCAUUAAGUCCCUAUAUAUAGCUCAACUCUUUUAUUGCAUGUAUAUAUAAUUAUCCUCACUAUAUUAUGCAGAUUGAAGAUCGUCGAAUGCAGAAAAGCUGAAAUGUAUGAUAUUGGGUUCAUUAACACAAAUCUCAUAGAUGAAUUUACGGUUAAAUUUCAUGCCGAAGAAACCGAGGAGAACUUGCUACGAUCAUUGGUAAUAAAUCAAAAAAAGAUACAAUACUCUUUCCUUACAACUUCAAGUGAGUGUUACUGUCUUGUGCAUAUUCGGUUUCCCUUAAUUAUUACUCGAGGUUAUAGUAAUUAAUGCAAUUGAUGAGUUAUAUGCAUGCAUGCGCAGUUUUCACUAUAUUCUCCUAGAGAUUAAGCUUGAGCAGGGACUAGUAAGCGUCUUAGACUCGAGACGAAAAAAUCGCGAGGAAUAUGCGGACAUGUCUAAAAUGCUCGAGAAGUAAAUUGACGUGAUGCACAACCAAAGUGGGGGUCGUCACGGAAGUAAAUAUCAGAAUUUUAGAUGGACAACAGAACAGUAGUAACAGUGGUGUCGUUCUUACAAGAUAUUUGGAAUCAGGCAAUUUCACACACUGCUGGAUCUUGAUUGUCUUAGCACAGUUACUUGACAAUCCCAUUGCUUUAACAGAUCCAAGAAAGAAGUUCCACCACGUGCAAGCAGUGAAUAACAUUUAAAUGUGCACCAGAAUGACAGAGAAAUGCAUCAAUCAAAUCAACUUGGGGACCGAAGCAUCAAGUGUAAAAGAACGUUAAACAGUUUUUUCAGUCUUUUAUGUACCGAAGAAAAGAGUCGGUAACUGCAAAGGCCCGCUUAUUAGCUUGCAUUAUCUUCUGAUACAGUGACUCUGUUCCAAAGCAACACUAUGCAGAAUAGGUGAUCUUCUAUAGUAGUACAAAUGUAUGGAGGCUAGUACAACUAACAAUCAGUACUCUGUUAUGGGCGUGUGAAAAAAAGGGGGCAGACUAUUCUGAAGAGAAAAUGAAUAGCAUAUGCAACGAAAUUUCAGAGAUGGAUCCACAGCAUGAAAAUUAGACGGCUAGGCCGAAUUAGGUGGCGUUGGAACCCGAUCCUAAUUCUCUUCCAUAUGGAAGAUGCACAAUUAGUGGUACUCAAAGCCAUAGACAGUGAAGGCAGGCUUGUUGGAUCCCCAUAUGUGUCCUUGUCUUUCGACCCUUGAGCGAAGAAAAGGGGAGCACCACAUCCGGGGCCGCCGCCCCGACGUAAAGUCAAACCGCCCCCUCUGGGUCGCAUCGACCAGGCCGACGACCUCGCUACCCACGUAGCACCAAGUCGCCACCAAAACAAUGCACAACUGCGACUCUGCCCCAUAGAGCCACCGUUGCAUCGCUAUCCAAGGCCGCCACCUCGGCGUAAAUCCACCGUCCGGAGCCGCCGCCCCGGACUCCAUCACCCCGACGACGACGCAACUCUGCACCACUGCCAUGAGACCACCACCUCCACAAAGGUCAUCAAUAUUGAUUCUUGUUAGUUUGGUCCAAACUGAAACUAUUUGUGAUGCUCUUCUGUCAUGUGAGUGCAAUUUCGUGCAUACAAAGUAGCCCUCCAUCGGAGUCUGAUUCUUUCUAGGAUUUAGAACCAUGUGGGAUUAAUUACCCACUAAAAUCACAAGGAUACAUCAGCAGCACACUAGAUAGUAUUACUAAGCUACUAGUGCAUCACGACUCACUUUGGGUAGCUUCCACAAACUGCUCGAUGGAUUACAAACAGCUAGCAGUUUUAAUUAUUGCAGUUAACUUACUUAAGUAGAAACCCCAGUGUUCUACUCUGCUACUAGCACACAUGGUGGUUAGAAUUUCCUGUACAACAGAGUAAAAAGGCCACAAUCCCAAUAAAGGCCCUUGUUAUUUUUCCUUGUCUCCAUGAUUGAGAUUCCAUUGUUGAGCAACCUGAUCGAUUGCAAACAACUGGUAGUUUUAAUUUACCGCCGUUAACUUAAGGAGUAACCUGAUCGAUUGCAAACAGCUGGUAGCACACAUGCAUGGUGGUUAGCAGGAACUUCCUGUAGGACAGAGUAAAAAUGCCACAUUCACAGUAAAAGCCCAGGUUAUUAUUCCUUGUCUUCAUGAUUGAGAUUCCUGUAUGCUGUCUCCACUUACCAAGGGACCCAUGGGUACCAGUGUGAGGUGUUAUUUUUUUUUUCUGGAGUGGAGAACAGUAAAUUAAGGACAAGUACUUUACUUGGUUCACACCCUGCUUCUCCAUCUGUCCAACUGCUUUCCUGUCUUAGUUUGCAUGUCAAGGAAAAAUGCUGCUGCUAGAGGAGUACUCCUUCCGUCCUGUUUUCUCUCUCUCUCUCUUUCCAAUAGAAACAAGCAGUAAAAUGCGCACGUUCAUGUCACGUGUCUUCUAAUUUCCAAUCAAAUUCUGCAAAAUAGCUCAAUCAGUGUAGUGCGGUGCAUGAUGGAGUGGAGUAACAAAUAAACAGAUAUAUUACAGCAAGGGAAGGUUGGAAACAACUAGUACCCAGUGAUGGAAUUGUCAGUGCUCACUUUAAACUCCCCUAUUUCAAAUAGACACAUGCUUACUGUUGGAAGCGAUCUUGCAUCACUAGAUAUUGUUACUUGAGUUUGUAUGUGGUUCAUAUCCUUGGGAGCCUCAUUUCAUUUGGCCAUGGAAAGAGUGUUGGCCAAAGGUGUGGUUUAGGCAGUCUUCGUCCCAUGUGAUAUGUUCAAAUCUUGGGCAAUCACUAUUAUGAAAGAUAUGUUAUUAACUACUCCCUCCGUUUUAAAAUAUUUGUCUUUCUAGAGAUUUCAACAAGUGAGUACAUAUGAAGCAAAAUAAGUGAAUCUAUACUUUAAAAUAUGUCUAUAUACAUUCGUAUGUGGUAGUCCAUUUGAAAUCUUUAAAAAGACAAACAUUUAGGAAUGGAGGGAGUAUUAUAGUGGAGGUAAGCAAGGGAGGGUAUGUGCAAUACUGAAGUUAUGAAACGACAUCAAAAUACACGAUUGAAAAAUAAGCUAUCCUCCACUGCCUCUUGGCAACAUCAUUACAUGUCAGUGAACUAGCCUUCGCUAAUUAAUUAUUAUUCAUUUUUCUCUUUCCACCACCGUUGAACUGCCCGCUCCUAGGUAUACUUUGGAUCUUAACGUCCCAUUUCUCGUUUGGUUGGAGCGAGUGAACAAGACAUGAUGAUUCACGAGGGAGGGUGGGAGGGUGGCUACCAGUUUGAGGUGUAUGUUUUCUUCCUGUUGUGGAAAUAUCAGCACAUUUUUUAAUAGACUAAUUCACGAGUAAAUGAGAAGCAUGGUAAAUACGGUAUGCAACUCAUACCGAUACCUAAGCAUAUGAGCAUGUACAGUAUAUAGAAACAAAACAUCUAUGAAUAUAGCAUAUACGGCUAGCACAUGUACGAGGGAUGAACGGAUCAUACCCUCCGGUUGGCCAGGCCAACGCGGCGGCGGUAGGAGCAACCUCAGCGUCGUCCAUGACCUUUUUCUUGGCGGCGGCGUCUUCGACCAUGGUGUCGAUGUAGGGGAAGUAGUGAAAGCAGAGGAGAACGGAGACGGAUCGGGAGCAGCCGCAUUGAGACACUUCCUAAAAACCUUAUUCCCGUUCUCCUGGGCAAGAUCUCGAACGACAGGGUUCCGGAGGCACCUACUCUCUCGACCAACCAUGCACAGGAUCGUCGCGACGGGAUCGUCAGAAGCAGCACAGAGAGAGGAACGGUAGAUGACGGCUAGGGUUGUGCAGGAGGGACUGAGUGAGUUAGGGUUCACUACAUAGACCAGCACCUCUUUAUAUAUGUCGUCGGGUAUAUGGGCCUGGGCUGCGAAUAGCUCACGGUCCAACGUCUCGGACAGUGGCACUUUCGUAAGCGACUCGUUAAUUAAUCCACAAUUAUUAACCAUUCUUGACUGGAAAAAUAAGGCUCGGCUCGGCUCAUUCCCGCAACCCGCAGCGCGCGCGUCGUGACAGGGCGAAGCGUGGCGAGGCGGCGGCGAAGGAAGAGGAGUGCGCGUGUACAACUCCUCUUCCGAAGCGCCCAAUGGCAUGUGGUAGAGCAGCCCUUAUAAAGGGGUCUCACUCUUCUUACUCUAGCAGUAUGAUACUAAACUUCCCACCACUUGACAUGCACAUAAAUGGGCCUUAGAGAUUAACCAAGGAUUAUUGUCUUAUAUGGGCCUAAGCUCAUCUAUAAUCCAAUAUUGUGUUAUAUGGGCCUAAGCCCACUAUAAUCCAAUAACCCCCCCACCAAAUCUCGAGGCACAUAAUUUUGUCAGCUAUUCCAGACAAUAUUUGAUAUACCAGAAUUUCUAGUGAAGAAUUAUAAGUUGAACUUCCACCAAGAGCAACAGGAUUAGACUUCUUCACAACUGAACAAUGGACUAUGUCUUGAAUUAUCAGUUUAGCGUGCAGAAGUUUUGCCUAUUGUCAGCUGAUACGUGUCUGCUAAAGGCUAAACCCCACUGGAGCUUAUUAGCCAUACUCCUUACCUUCUCAUGAGCUUUCUAGAGAUUACCCAAUCUCAUGGACUGUGACCAGCAGUCGGUCUCACAUAGGUGUGUUCCUCCAAAGAAUGCUUUGUAGGCUAGCAUCUUACUUACACAAGCUUUGGAACACAUUAAGACAAAAGUCAGUGUGCCUUUCAAAUUAUGAGAGUAUUGCAUCUCCAAUGGAGUGGGUUAGUAAGGAUACUCUCCUCAGUUGACCGCUAUAUUAUUUUCCUAGGUCCUAAUUCACGGGAUCUCCGAUCACAUAGAUUAUGUUAACCACAUGGAAAUUUAUGUGGGUCUCAUGCCCAUCUCCCUCGAUGCAUUUUCUAUCACAAUCCGUGAUAGCCCUUUCAUGAAGGGAUUCGUCAUAUUCUUAGCAUUUGGAUGUAAUCCAACGCUAUCACUCCAGAGUUUCUAGAAUGCCAGACAGAUUUUAAUCUUCUUCUUAUGUGCUUUGUGGAUUCAUAAGUAUAGUCUGGACUGGCUUAUCAACCACAAGCAAAUCCAUCAAGAGCUCUCAAAGCCAUUCUGCUUCGAUGCAUGAUUUGUCUAAUGCUGUGAGUUCUGCUUCCAUAGUCGAUUUCGUUAAGAUCGUCUGCUUGCAAUACUUUCAGGAAACAACACCACCACCAAGUGUGAAGACAUAUCCACUUGUGGCAUUCAUCUCAUCAGCAUCAGAUAUCCAGUUCAAAUCACUAUACCCCUCAAGUACCGUCGGGUGCCCAGAAUAGUGAAUUUCGUAGUUCACAAUACCUUGCAAAUAAUGCAUCACUCGUUCAACAGCAUACCAAUGUACAUCUCCCAGAUUGAGAAGACCAUGCGAGACAGCCAACGAGAGUAACACUUGAAUGGUGUCAGUCUAGUCAUGGGUGAGUAAGUAUCAAAGAAAUCUUCUUCUUUAUGGAUAUAACACUUGGCCACAAGUCUAGCCUUGUACUUCUCAACAGUAUCAUCGGGCUUAAGCUUCUUUUUGAACACCCAUUUACAUCCCAAUGAUUAGAAACCAUAAGGACGAUCAAUGAUCUAUUGUGUCCUGUUAGCCAAGAUGGAACCCAUCUCGCUAUGGACCGCAUCCUUGCAGUAGUCAGCAUCCGGUGAUGCAUAAACUUCUGAAUGGAACUGGGAGUGUUGUCAUCCAUGAGGUAUAUGAGGAAAUCAUCACCAAACAACUUUGCACUCCUCUGUAUCUUGCUCCUAAUAGGAGCUUCCUCAUCAUCCUUCGUGGAACUUUCAUCACUUUUGUGUUCAUAAUCUUCCAUCGGAAUAGCAGGUUCAGGAGUCUCAUAGGAUUCCAAUCUAGAAGUGCUUUGCAUGUCUCUCAUGGGGAAAAUAUCCUCAAACAAUGUAGCAUCUUUAGACUCCAUGAUCGUACCGGCCUUCAUGUUGUGUACAUUAGGUUUCACCACUAGAAAUCUAUAGCCAACGCUAUGCUUGGCAUAGCCUAGAAAAACGCAGUUCACAGUCUUUGGUCCCAACUUAUGCUUUUUGAUUGUCGGCACGUUGACUUUUGCCAAAUAGCCCCAAGUGCACAAGUAAGAGAGUGUAGUUCUUUUCUUUUCCCAUUGCUCAUAGGAGUACUAUAAUUAUCCUUUGUGUGAACUUUAUUCAGGACAUGACAUGAUGUCAAUACAACCUUUUCCACCAUGCCUUGAAUAAAUCUGAUGUAUCUAACAUGGUGUUAACCAAAUCUGUUUGAGUAUGGUUUUUCCGUUCGGCAACCCCGUUUGACUGGGAUGAAUAGGGCGGCAUCCUCUCAUGAAUAAUACCAUGUUUUGCACAAAAUAAAUCAUCACCAUGAACAGACCGGAUUCACUUUAUUUUCUUUUCAAGUUGGUUCUCAACUUAUGCUUUAUAGAUCUUAAAGUAGUGUAGAGCCUUAUCCUUAGUAUUUAACAAAUACACAUAGCAGAAUCUAGUGGAAUCAUCAACCAACAUCAUGAAAUAUUUCUUUCCACCUUUAGUCAAAGCACCAUUCAUCUCGCAGAGAUCUGAAUGUAUGAGCUUUAGUGGAGCCAGGUGUCUCUCCUUCGUAGACUUGUGAGGCUUUACGAGGUUGCUUAGCUCGCACACACGCAUGGCACUUAGAGCUUUGGCUAAUGUAAAAAUUGGAAUUAAAUCCAUCUUAGCUAUCUGCCUCAUACAACCGAAAUUUAUGUGACAAGGACGUGAAUAACAAACCUCGGAUUCAUUUACGCUAGAAUGUUUUGGUUCAUGACUUUAUUGCAGAAAUCCGCAAGGGAAAGGUAGAACAAACCACUGCAAUCGUAUCAUUUUCCAACAAACAGUCCACAUCAAGAUACAACUACUUUAUUGGAUUCAAAUACUAACUCAAACCCUUCUUUACAUAGAAAGGAGCCACUAAUGAGAUUCUUCUUGAUGGCGGGGACAAGCUGCACGUUCUUCAGUUGCACGAUCUUUCCUGAAGUAAACUUCACAUCUACCAUGGCAACACCAUGAACAAAAACAUGCGAGCCAUUCCCCAUCAGGACGGAGCAAUCUUGUGCGACCUCAUAAGAAGAGAAUAAAGACAUAUCAGCGCACACAUGAAUAUUUGCACCUGUGUCAACCCACCAAUCAGUGGACUCACAAACUAAAAGUACGCUAAACAGAUUACCAUACCUAGAUGCCCCAUCAUUGUUUCUCAUAGUCACAUUGAUAGACUUGGGAGUCCUGUCCUGACUUCUUGUACUUGUUUGGGCACUUGUUUGCCCAAUGUUCAUAUGAACCACAAGUAAAUCAGCCAUCUCUUUUUUUUAUCUUUCUUCUUACCCUUGUUCUUGAAGGUAGUAUUCUGCUGGACAGUGUUCUUUCCCUUGAACUUGUGGAAAUUCUUGCACCACAUUGGCGCUAGAAGAACCCUCUUCUCCUUUGACGUGUGAGUCCUUUGCUCUCACUUAGAUGACCGAUGACAUCCUUAACAGAGAAUUCAAGUCUCAAGUUCUUGAGAGAAGUAGCAAAGUUCCUUCAUCUAGGAGGGAGUUUUGCAAUAAUGCAACUCGUGACAAACUUGUUCAGCAACUCACACUUUAGGAGCUCCAGCUCCUUGGUCAUGCAAUUCAUGAGCCUGGUCCAAUACAGAACGGUUAUCAACCAUCGUGUAUGUUGGGGAACGUAGUAAUUUCAAAAAUUUCCUACGCACACGCAAGAUCAUGGUGAUGCAUAGCAACGAGAGGGGAGAGUGUAAUCUACAUACCCUUGUAGACCGAAAGCGGAAGCGUUAGAACAACGCGGUUGAUGUAGUCGUACGUCUUCACAGCCCGACCGAUCAAGCACCGAAACUACGGCACCUCCGAGUUCUAGCACACGUUCAGCUCGAUGACGUCCAUCGAACUCCGAUCCAGCCAAGUGUCGAGGGAGAGUUCCGUCAGCACGACGGCGUGGUGACGAUCUUGAUGUUCUACCGUCACAGGGCUUCGCCUAAGCACCGCUACAAUAUUAUCGAGGAGGACUAUGGUGGAGGGGGGCACCGCACACGGCUAAUAGAUCUCAAGGAUCAAUUGUUGUUGUGUCUUUGGGGUGCCCCCCUGCCCCCAUAUAUAUAGGAGCAAGGGGGGAGGCGGCCGGCCUAUGGAGGAGGCGCACCAAGGGGGGAGUCCUACUCCCACCGGGAGUAGGACUCCUCCUUUCCUUGUUGGAGAAGAAAAGAGGAGGAGAGGGAGAAGGAAAAAGGGGCUGCCCCCCUUGUCCAAUUCGGACCAGAGGGGGGGCGCAGGCCUCCUUCCUUUUGGCCUCUCUCCUCUAUUCCCGUAUGGCCCAAUAAGGCCCAUAUACUCCCCGGCGAAUUCCCGUAACUCUCCGGUACUCCGAAAAAUACCCGAAUCACUCGGAACCUUUCCGAACUCCGAAUAUAGUCGUCCAAUAUAUCGAUCUUUACGUCUCGACCAUUUCGAGACUCCUCGUCAUGUCCCCGAUCUCAUCCGGGACUCCGAACUCCUUCGGUACAUCAAAACUCAUAAACUCAUAAUAUAACUGUCAUCGAAACCUUAAGCGUGCGGACCCUACGGGUUCGAGAACAAUGUAGACAUGACCUAGAACUAUUCUCGGUCAAUAACCAAUAGCGGAACCUGGAUGUUCAUAUUGGCUCCCACAUAUUCUACGAAGAUCUUUAUCGGUCAAACCGCAUAACAACAUACGUUGUUCCCUUUGUCAUCGGUAUGUUACUUGCCCGAGAUUCGAUCGUCGGUAUCCAAUACCUAGUUCAAUCUCGUUACUGGCAAGUCUCUUUACUCGUUACGUAAUGCAUCAUUCCGUAACUAACUCAUUAGUUACAUUGCUUGCAAGGCUUAUAGUGAUGUGCAUUACCGAGAGGGCCCAGAGAUACCUCUCCGACAAUCGGAGUGACAAAACCUAAUCUCGGAAUACGCUAACCCAACAUGUACCUUUGGAGACACCUGUAGUACUCCUUUAUAAUCACCUAGUUACGUUGUGACGUUUGGUAGCACCCAAAGUGUUCCUCCGGUAAACGGGAGUUGCAUAAUCUCAUAGUUACAGGAACAUGUAUAAGUCAUGAAGAAAGCAAUAGCAACAUACUAAACGAUCAAGUGCUAAGCUAACGGAAUGGGUCAAGUCAAUCACAUCAUUCUCCUAAUGAUGUGAUCCCGUUAAUCAAAUGACAACUCUUUUGUCCAUGGCUAGGAAACAUAACCAUCUUUAAUAAACGAGCUAGUCAAGUAGAGGCAUACUAGUGACACUAUGUUUGUCUAUGUAUUCACACAUGUAUUAUGUUUUCGGUUAAUACAAUUCUAGCAUGAAUAAUAAACAUUUAUCAUGAUAUAAGGAAAUAAAUAAUAACUUUAUUAUUGCCUCUAGGGCAUAUUUCCUUCAGUGUAAUCAUGGAACUGCUCCAUGGCAUACAAUUCGGUCAGCAUUGGUUGCGCCGAACUUAGCUUCAAGCGCAUCCCACAUGUUUUUGGCAACGUGCAUAUGCAGAUAUGCGGCAGCCAACUUGUCUACGAUCACAGUAAGAAUGGCUCCCACAAAGACAGGUGUGGCAUCCCUGAACACCUUAUCCUGUUCAGGAGCAAUCAUUUCUGCGGGAUCCACCGCACCGACCCAGAACACGUUUAUAGCUGUGAGCCACAAGGUGGUACUCGUCUGCCAACACUUAAAAUGCCUUCCAGUAAACUUUUCCAGUUUGAGUGUAGCGGUGAAGCCUUGAAUCGAAAAGUGCCUAAAAUAAGGUUUUUGGAUUGUCGGAAAUAUCAGCAUAUUUUUUAUUAGACUAAUCCACGAUUAAACGAGAAGCAUGACAAAUACGGUAUGCUACUCAUACCGAUACCUAAAUAUGUGAGCACGUGCAGUACAAAGAAACAAAGCAUUUAUGAAUUGUGACGCCCGGAUAGUUAAGCUACAGUAACCUCUACUAAUGAUGCCACGUCACCACAUUUACUGUUGACGAUCUCGCGAUGAUUCAAUCCCGUUCGAAAUCAAAACUAAAAAUCAAUCAAAUGGUAAAAGUUUUUCAAACUUUAAAAAGAAAAUGUUCUAGAGGUGCCAAAUAAUUCUUAGGUAAUUAUGUUGGAGAAUCCACAUUUUUAUAAAAUAUUUAAAUGCACUAAAGUGAUUUAAACAGUAGCAAAAACCCUUGUUUAAUUGCCUUUGGUAUUUCGUAAAAUACUAAAAGAUUUUAUUUUGGGGAAAACUUUUUAUGCAGUAGGUUGUCCUGAAACAUUAAUUUAGGAGCUAUUGCCUUAUUUUACAAAACAAAAAAAACAAACUUAAAAGUAAAAUAAAAACUGGAGAAAAGAAAUAUAAANNNNNNNNNNNNNNNNNNNNNNNNNNNNNNNNNNNNNNNNNNNNNNNNNNNNNNNNNNNNNNNNNNNNNNNNNNNNNNNNNNNNNNNNNNNNNNNNNNNNNNNNNNNNNNNNNNNNNNNNNNNNNNNNNNNNNNNNNNNNNNNNNNNNNNNNNNNNNNNNNNNNNNNNNNNNNNNNNNNNNNNNNNNNNNNNNNNNNNNNNNNNNNNNNNNNNNNNNNNNNNNNNNNNNNNNNNNNNNNNNNNNNNNNNNNNNNNNNNNNNNNNNNNNNNNNNNNNNNNNNNNNNNNNNNNNNNNNNNNNNNNNNNNNNNNNNNNNNNNNNNNNNNNNNNNNNNNNNNNNNNNNNNNNNNNNNNNNNNNNNNNNNNNNNNNNNNNNNNNNNNNNNNNNNNNNNNNNNNNNNNNNNNNNNNNNNNNNNNNNNNNNNNNCCAUGAUCCCCCACAUCUCUUCCCUCUCCCCCUCAAUCUGGAUCGGGGGGCGCACGCCCGAUUCCGCCGCUGCCCGACGCGGCCUGCCUCCGUCCCCAUCGCUCCGACGCCGUCGCCUUGGACCUCGCCGCCUCGUUCUCAACCGCCCAUCGCCGGACCGCCUCGCCUCCCCCUCUUUCCCGAGCUGGAUGCGCCGCUGCCCAAGGACCUCGCCGGAGGCCACGACGCCGGAGCCACCCCGUCGGCCUGCAUCCUCUCCGCCGUCGCCUCGUCCCCGUCCUCCUCCUUGCGCCCCACUGCCAAUCCCCUACACGCGCGGUGAGGCCCGACCUCCUCUCCCCUCUCGCCUCGCUGAACCGCGCUCGCCCCGCACCUGGCGCCCGUGGCCUUGCCUCGCACACGGCCGGCCCCGCGCGUGGCCGCCUCCGCCGGUCUGCUGUCCCUCGCCUACGCGCAGACCACCCGCCGCUCGCCCCGUCGCCGGCGCCUUCGGCUCUGUCGCCUUCCCUGCUCCUCAUGCUGCCCGCACCCCCUAUUGCUGCUCUACAUCACCGACGUCACCCUUCGUUGGCGCCGCUCGCCGUCGACCGCCCGCAGUGCCGUUGUUGCGGCCUCGUCUCUGGCCGUUGCCCCUGUCGUCCUGGGCAAGCGCCCAAACAGGCUGGGCAUCAUCGCCCGCUAGCACCCGCCCCGCGGUGGCCCUCUGGGCCACUGACUAGGGGGCCCCACGCCCCAGAAUAAAAUAAAUAAAUAAAUAAAAUGAAAAUUAAUUAACUUAAUUAAGCCCAAUUAAUUAAUCUAAUUAAUCCUGUCUACUAACCUACUCACUUAGUUAAGACUAAUUAAACUCUGUUUAGCUAAUCUGUGACAUUGACGAACGGGACCCACGCGUCUGUUGACCCAGUCAACAGACGGUUGACUAAUGACAUCAUGCUGACGCCAUAUUUGCAAUUUCAAAUUUAAUUAAUUCUGUUAAUUCUAAAAAUAUUUUAAAACUUUGAAAAUUAAUAUAAAAUAAAUCAUAACUCGGAUGGGAAAACUUUAUACAUGAAAGUUGCUCAGAACGACGAGACAAAUUCGGAUAUGCAGCCCGUUCGUCCGCCACACAUCCCUAGCAUAGCGAACAUGCAAAAUUCCCCCUCUAUUUCAUCUGUCUGAAUAUGUCAAACACCGGGAAUACUUUUCCGGAUGUUUUCCCCACUUCACCGGUAUCACCUACCCCUGCGUUAGAUCACCCCUGGCACCCUGGCAGCGCAUAUUGCCAUGUUAUGAUUUGUGAUGCUUUGAUUGCUUUGUUAUUUAUUGUGUUCCCCCUCCGUUACUUCUUUCCGGUAGACCUCAAGAUUGUUGCUGGUACCCCUGUGAUCGACUACAUCGACGACGAACCCUUCUCUUGCCAGAGCCACCAGGCAAGCCCCCCCUUGAUCACCAGAUAUCGCCUAUUCUUCUUUAUAUUGCUUGCAUUAGAGUAGUGUAGCAUGUUACUGUUCGGUUACUCCUAUUCUGUUGCAUAGCCUGUCAUUGUUGCUACAAUCAUUGAUACCUUACCCGCAAUCCUAAAUGCCUAGUAUAGGAUGCUAGUUUACCUUUAGUGGCCCUACAUUCUUGUCAGUCUGCCAUGCUAUACUAUUGGGCCGUGAUCACUUGGGAGGUGAUCAUGGGUAUAUACUAUACAUACAUACUAUUCAGGUGGUGACUAAAGUCGGGUUGUCUCGUUGAGUACCCGCAAGUGAUUACGAUGUGGGGGCUGAAAGGACAGGUGGCUCCAUCCUGGUAGAGGUGGGCCUGGGUUCCUGACGGCCCCCGACUAUUACUAUGUGGCAGAGCGACAGGGCGGGUUGAGACCACCUAGGCGAGAGGUGGGCCUGGCCCUGGUCGGCGUUCGUGGUUGCUUCAUAAUAACACACUUAACGAGAUCUUGGUAUUUGAUCUGAGUCUGGCCACUGGCCUAUACGCACUAACCAACUAUGCGGGAAAGAUAUGGGCACUCGACGUCGUGGUAUCAGCUGAAGCCUUCGUGACGUCAGCGACUGAGCGGUGCACGCCGGGUUGGACUGCGUUAAUGCAACUUCCUUUGUAAUGGAGGUUGCUAGGUCUGCUCACCGGCCGCCCUCGCAACGUGCAGGUGUGCAAUGGGCGAUGGGCCCAGACCCCUGCGCGCAUAGGAUUUAGACCGGCGUGCUGACCUCCGGGCAUGACCCAGAAAAGUGUGUCCGGCCAAAUGGGAUCGAGCGUGUUGGGUUAUGUGGUGCACCCCUGCAGGGAAGUUUAUCUAUUCGAAUAGCCGUGUCCCUCGGUAAAAGGACGACCCGGAGUUGUACCUUGACCUUAUGACAACUAGAACCAGAUACUUAAUAAAACACACCCAAACAAGUUCCACAGAUAACCCGGUGAUCGCUUUUCCACAGGGCGACGAGGGGAGGAUUGCCGGGUAGGAUUAUGCUAUGCGAUGCUACUUGAAGGACUUCAAUCUACUCUAUUCUACAUGCUGCAAGACGGAGGCUGUUAGAAGCGUAGUCUUCGAUAGGACUAGCUAUCCCCCUCUUAUUCUGGCAUUCUGCAGUUCAGUCCACCGAUAUUGCCUCUUUACACAUAUAUCCAUGCAUAUGUAGUGUAGAUCCUUGCUUGCGUGUACUAUGAAUGAGUACUCACGGUUGCUUUUCUCCCCCUCCCCCCCCCUUUCCUUUCUACCUGGUUGUCGCAACCAGAUGCUGGAGCCCAGGAGCCAGACGGCACCGUCGAUGACGACUACUACAUGGGAGGUGCCUACUACUACGUGCCGGCUGCUGACGACGACUAGGAGUAGUUUAGGAGGAACUUGGUAUGGUGAUACUUCUCACCAUCACCAUUCUUUCUUGGGUCCUCGUGUUGAUUCCAACCGGGGUAUCAACAAGUGAGCGGUGCUGUUUGGAUUCUACCCUUCUAGCAACCCUCUUGUUUUGAAGUUAAUGAUCAGCCGUUCAUUCUUAGACUAUUGACUAUUGAAUCACCAUUCCAACAUUGGUCGUGCAACCCAGCCCAUAUUCGGGUGCACCUUUCAACCAAUGUUUAAUUGUGUAUGUUUUCCUCAAGCAUACAUCAUUAUACCAUUUGAUCUGACAAAUGUUAUCUCCUUGUUCACAUAAUUGUGGAAAUCCAUCUUUUGUUAAUCUCGAUGAAUUGCGCUGAUUCUAUCAGCCACCUCCUCAUCCUCUUGUUGGUUUUCUGAUUAACUCUUGCUUCAGGAACCCGCUCCCAUAGUUCAUUUCCCGAGAAUCUUGCAAUGUCAUUUCGUCCAUUUGUGUUGCACCUUUCUUAUUGGACAUCCUGAAUCUGAGGUAUCAUGACACCAAUCAGAUUUGAAUCUUGGUCAGAUAUGAUGGUUGGAACAUAUUUUCAAAAGUUAUAACAUUGGUCGUUAUAUGACCUGGUAAGGUGGUGUCAUGCCGAGUACACCUGGCCGGAGGACCUAUUGUUAUAGCUUCCUUUUUAGCAAUGCUAGCUAUUCUUCCAUGAGGAAAUUGUAAGACUUAUUCUAUAAGUUGUUCCUGAUGGAUACUUUGUGUAUCCAAAGUUUGAUCUUUACCCAGUGACCAUGUCAAUGCUAUCUCGAAGCUUGUCUAUGGUACUCCUAUUUUCAACAAGAACAUUUGAAGCCCAAUGCUAAAUGUGUCCUGCUCAAUUACCCAAACACCACUGUAUGGGUAAUGUCAUGAAAUUUCUCUCACCUUAUCUAAAGAGUUUUCUACAUUAUAUCAUGUCAUGGAUAUCAUGCUCUCUUGUCCUUGGGAAGGAUAUACCCUUGAAAUAUGUGUUUAAACACAUUUUCCUUUCCAUUGUUAUGUUUAAUAUGAAGAUCACCUUUUCCUUUCCAUUGUUUUGUUUAACCUUUCUCGCAAUCUAUUUGAUCUAAGCAGUAAUGUUCUUCUGCUUAUGUAAACACCUCGGUGUACAACUCUUUCAGUAAGACCCUGUUACUAUUGUUGUUGACAUUCCGGUAACCACCGAUGGAUGAGAACUUAGCCUAUUGGUCCGCCUCGUUUCAACGAGCAGGAAAAUGGUUCUCUUCGUCCCUCGCCCUUGGUACCAACAUUGUUACUGACAUAUAACUGACAGGCUAACCUCUGACAUGCCUUGCUUACAUGAUAAUGCAAGACGUCAUCGCCCUUCCUACUUUUAACCCAUGUGGUGGGUCCAUAACCCACUGUUCCACAGGAUCGAAACCUGACUCUCAUGUACACCCUGUUUCCAAAGAUAUUCCUCACGCUUGGCUUCGUAUGUAAUUCACGAGCCACCUUCCGUGUGAUCCGCAGUUCUGGUAUUAAACACAAUACUUAAUUUCGUUGCUCUGAACCCCCUUUCACACUUUGUUUCAGGCAACAGACGGUUGCCUGCCAGCUCGAAACUUCCCAUAAUACCUCCUUACUUUGCUCUCGAUAUUUUCAGAGGUUUCAAUUCGAGAGUUACUUUCCACCUCCUUCCUCGAUGUUAUCUACCAGAUAGUCAACCUUGCCGAGGUUCGUUCUCCCGGAAUGCUCCCCCUUUAUUCUUUCGUAAGUGCGAUGGAGAUCCCAAAGAAAGGACGAUAACUUCAUCAUGAUGCAUUGAUGCAGAGAAAUGAAGACAUCAAUGAAAGGGAUCAACCUCUUCGAAAGGGCAGCCAAGACCGAGAAGACUCGUUAGGUCUUUCGCUACCAGCACCUUUCCCCCCUUAUUUCACCUCUUAAAUCUCGGGACGAGAUUUCUUGUAGUGGAGGAGAAUUGUGACGCCCGGAUAGUUAAGCUACAGUAACCUCUACUAAUGAUGCCACGUCACCACAUUUACUGUUGACGAUCUCGCGAUGAUUCAACCCCGUUCAAAAUCAAAACUAAAAAUCAAUCAAAUGGUAAAAGUUUUUCAAACUUUAAAAAGAAAAUGUUCUAGAGGUGCCAAAUAAUUCUUAGGUAAUUAUGUUGGAGAAUCCACAUUUUUAUAAAAUAUUUAAAUGCACUAAAGUGAUUUAAACAGUAGCAAAAACCCUUGUUUAAUUGCCUUUGGUAUUUCGUAAAAUACAAAAAUAUUUUAUUUCGGGGUAAAACUUUUUAUGCAGUAGGUUGUCCUGAAACAUUAAUUUAGGAGCUAUUGCCUUAUUUUACAAAAAAAAACUUAAAAGUAAAAUAAAAACUGGAGAAAAGAAAUAUAAAGAAAAAGAAAAAAGAACUAAAACUAAAACAAACAAAAGAACAAAGAAAAUNNNNNNNNNNNNNNNNNNNNNNNNNNNNNNNNNNNNNNNNNNNNNNNNNNNNNNNNNNNNNNNNNNNNNNNNNNNNNNNNNNNNNNNNNNNNNNNNNNNNNNNNNNNNNNNNNNNNNNNNNNNNNNNNNNNNNNNNNNNNNNNNNNNNNNNNNNNNNNNNNNNNNNNNNNNNNNNNNNNNNNNNNNNNNNNNNNNNNNNNNNNNNNNNNNNNNNNNNNNNNNNNNNNNNNNNNNNNNNNNNNNNNNNNNNNNNNNNNNNNNNNNNNNNNNNNNNNNNNNNNNNNNNNNNNNNNNNNNNNNNNNNNNNNNNNNNNNNNNNNNNNNNNNNNNNNNNNNNNNNNNNNNNNNNNNNNNNNNNNNNNNNNNNNNNACUCCCGACUGCACAGAUCCCCCACGAUCCCCCUCAUCUCUUCCCUCCCCCCCUCGAUCUGGAUCGGGGGGGCGUACGCCCGAUUCCGCCGCUGCCUGACGCGGCCUGGAUCCGUCCCCAUCGCUCUGACGCCGUCGCCUUGGACCUCGCCGCCUCGUCCUCAACCGCCCAUCGCCGGACCGCAUCGCCUCCCCCUCUUCCCCGAGUUGGAUGCGCUGCUGCCCGAGAACCUCGCCGGAGGCCACGACGCCAGAGCCACCCCGCCGGCCUGCAUCCUCUCCGUCGUCGCCUCGUCCCCGUCCUCCUCCUCGCGCCCCACUGCCAAUCCCCUAUACGCGCGGUGAGGCCCGACCUCCUCUCCCCUCUCUCCUCGCUGAACCGCGUUCGCCCCGCACCUGGCGCCCGUGGCCUUGCCUCGCACACGGCCCGCCCUGCGCGUGGCCGCCUCCGCCGGUCUGCUGUCCCUCGCCUUUGUGCAGACCACCCGCCGCUCGCCCCAUCGCCGGCGCCCUCGGCUCCGUCGCAUUCCCUGCUCCUCCUGCUGCCCGCACCCCUUAUUGCUGUUCUACAUCACCGGUGUCACCCUUCGUUGGCGCCGCUCGCCGUCGACCGCCCGCAGUGCCCUUGUUGCAGCCUCGUCUCUGGCCGUCGCCCCCUGUCGUCCUGGGCAAGCGCCCAAACAGGCUGGGCAUCAUCGCCCGCUAGCACCCACCCCGCGGUGGCCCUCUGGGCCACUGACUAGGGGGCCCCACGGCCCAGAAUAAAAUAAAUAAAUAAAUAAAAUGAAAAUUAAUUAAAUUAAUUAACUUAAUUAAGCCCAAUUAAUUAAUCUAAUUAAUCCUGUCUACUAACCUAAUCACUUAGUUAAGACUAAUUAAGCUCUGUUUAGCUAAUCUGUGACAUUGACGAACGGGACCCACGCGUCUGUUGACCCAGUCAACAGACGGUUGACUGAUGACAUCAUGCUGACGCCAUAUUUGCAAUUUCGAAUUUAAUUAAUUCUGUUAAUUCUAAAAAUGUUUUAAAACUUUGAAAAUUAAUAUAAAAUAAACUGUAACUCGGAUGGGAAAACUUUAUACAUGAAAGUUGCUCAGAACGACGAGACGAAUCCGGAUAUGCAGCCCGUUCGUCCGCCACACAUCCCUAGCAUAGCGAACAUGCAACAAUCUCCCUCCGUUUCAUCUGUCUGAAUAUGUCAAACACCGGGAAUACUUUUCCGGAUGUUUUCCCCCACUUCACAGUAUCACCUAUCCCUGCGUUAGAUCACCCCUGGCACCCUGGCAGCGCGUAUUGCCAUGUUAUGAUUUGUGAUGCUUUGAUUGCUCUGUUAUUUAUUGUGUUCCCCCUCCGUUACUUCUUUCCAGUAGACCUCAAGACUGCUGCUGGUACCCCUGUGAUCGACUACAUCGACGACGAACCCUUCUCUUGCCAGAGCAACCAGGCAAGCCCCCCCCCCUUGAUCACCAGAUAUCGCCUAUUCUUCUUUAUAUUGCUUGCAUUAGAGUAGUGUAGCAUGUUACUGUUCGGUUACUCCUAUUCUGUUGCAUAGCCUGUCAUUGUUGCUACAGUCAUUGAUACCUUACCCGCAAUCCUAAAUGCUUAGUAUAGGAUGCUAGUUUACCUUUAGUGGCCCUACAUUCUUGUUAGUCUGCCAUGCUAUACUAUCGGGCCGUGAUCACUUGGGAGGUGAUCAUGGGUAUAUACUAUACAUACAUACUAUUCAGGUGGUGACUAAAGUCGGGGCAGGUGAUUACGAUGUGGGGGCUGAAAGGACAGGUGGCUCCAUCCUGGUAGAGGUGGGCCUGGGUUCCCGAUGGCCCCCGACUAUUACUAUGUGGCAGAGCGACAGGGCAGGUUGAGACCACCUACGCGAGAAGUGGGCCUGGCCCUGGUCGGCGUUCGUGGUUGCUUCAUAAUAACACGCUUAACGAGAUCUUGGUAUUUGAUCUGAGUCUGGCCACUGGCCUAUACGCACUAACCAACUACGCGGGAAAGAUAUGGGCACUCGACAUCGUGGUAUCAGCCGAAGCCUUCGUGACGUCAGCGACUGAGCGGCGCGCGCCGGGUUGGACUGCGUUAACGCAACUUCCUUUGUGAUGGAGGUUGCUAGGUCUGCUCACCUGCCGCCCUCGCAACGUGCAGGUGUGCAAUGGGCGAUGGGCCCAGACCCCUGCACGCAUAGGAUUUAGACCGGCAUGUUGACCUCUGUGUUGUGCCUAGGUGGGGCUGUGACGUGUUGAUCUUCCGAGUCCGGGCAUGACCCAGAAAUGUGUGUCCAGCCAAAUGGGAUCGAGUGUAUUGGGUUAUGUGGUGCACCCCUGCAGGGAAGUUUAUCUAUUCGAAUAGCCGUGUCCCUCGGUAAAAGGACGACCCGGAGUUGUACCUUGACCUUAUGACAACUAGAAUCGGAUACUUAAUAAAACACAUCCAGACAAGUUCCACAGAUAACCCGGUGAUCACUUUUCCACAGGGCGACGAGGGGAGGAUUGCCGGGUAGGAUUAUGCUAUGCGAUGCUACUUGAAGGACUUCAAUCUACUCUCUUCUACAUGGUGCAAGACGGAGGCUGCCAGAAGCGUAGUCUUCGAUAGGACUAGCUAUCCCCCUCUUAUUCUGGCAUUCUGCAGUUCAGUCCAUCGAUAUUGCCUCUUUACACAUAUAUUCAUGCAUAUGUAGUGUAGAUCCUUGCUUGCGAGUACUUUGGAUGAGUACUCACGGUUGCUUUUCUCCCCCCUUUUCCCCCUUUCCUUUCUACCUGGUUGUUGCAACCAGAUGCUGGAGUCCAGGAGCCAGACGUCACCGUCGACGACGACUACUACAUGGGAGGUGCCUACUACUACGUGCAGGUUGCUGACGACGACCAGGAGUAGUUUAGGGGGAACCCAGGCAGGAGGCCUGCGCCUCUUUCGAUCUGUAUCCCAGUUUGUGCUAGCCAUCUUAUGGCAACUUGUUUAACCUAUGUCUGUACUCAGAUAUUGUUGCUUCCGCUGACUCGUCUAUGAUCGAGCACUUGUAUUCGAGCCCUCGAGGCCCCUGGCUUGUAUUAUGAUGCUUGUAUGACUUAUUUUAUUUUAGAGUUGUAUUGUGAUAUCUUCCGGUGAGUCACAUGAAUAUAGCAUAUACAACUAGCACAUGUACGAGGGAUGAACAAAUCAUACCCUUCCGGUUGACCUAGCCAACACGACGGCGACAUCAGCAGCCUCGAGUUCGUCCGUGUCCUUCUUCUUGGCGGCGGCGUCUUCGACCAUGGUGUCGACGGAGGGAAAGUAGUGGAAGCAGAGGAGGGCGGAGACGGAUCUGGAGCAGUCAUGUUGAGACGCUCCCAAAAAACCUUAUUGCCGUUCUCCCGGGCAGGAUCUCAAACGACAGGGUUACGAGGCACCUGCUCUCCCGACCAACCAUGCACGCGAUCGCUGGAAGCAGCACAGAGAGAGGAACAGUAGAUGGUCCUGGGCCGCAAACAACCCACGGUCCAACAUCUCGGACGGUGGCACUUCCAUAAGCGACUCGUUAAUUAAUCCAUAUGGAUUAAUUAACCAUUCUUGACCGACAAAAAUAAGUCUCGGCUCAUUCAUGCGCCGCGCAUGCGUCAUGACGAGGCGAGGCAGGCGGCGGAGGAGGAGGAGCGCGUAUGUACAUCUCCGUUUUCCAAGCUCACAAUGGCAUGUGGUAGGGCAACCCUUAUAAAGGGGUCUCACUCUUCUUAUAUGGUACUAAACUUCCCACCACUUGCCAUGCACGCCUUUGAGAUUAAUCAGGGAUUAUUGUGUUAUAUGGGCCUAAGCCCAUCUAUAAUCCAACACCUGUAGUGGGAACCAUGACAAAGAUUCACAUUGUGCCGCGCCGAGGAUAGCGUCCAGUCUUGUUGCACUCAAUACUGCAACAAGGGAAAAUGGAGAGAGAGCAGGUUCACGCGGGUCCCAACCCAAAGAAAGAAAAAGCCCAUCCAUCAACCAUCAUCUUCUCCCUCCCGUGACUCUGCUCCCUCCCCCACCCAGUCCUUCCUGCUCCCUCCCUCUAUUCUUCCACUUCACUUCCCCCUCAAUCACUCGCCACCCACCUCCUUCCUGCUCUGCUCUCCUUCCACACCACAUUCCCGUGAGUCUCUCACCGCAGAAGACUGAGUAGAUCUAGGAGGGCGCGAUGGGUUGAGGAGCACUCCCUCGGUGUGGAUGAUUUGCUUGCUUAGUUGAGCAGCGAUUCCUCACCUCCAUCUGGCAGCAAGCAGUAACUUAUAGAGGUAAAUCUGAUUCCUUUCGGUGUGAUUCGUACUGGAGUUUAUUCUACUGGCACUUGAUUCUUCUGUUCGUCCUGCUCAAUAUCUCAUCCUGGUGGAAUUGUUGUCCUGUUUGGGUGCCCUACCAGAUCGUUGGUAGCCAAGCUGCAACUUGUAAAAGCGAUUUUGAUUUCCUUCAGCAGUGUAUUUAGUAUUUGCACGGCAUUGAUGACGGCAGAUGCACUAACCAGUGAACUCCUUUUGAUUCAUGGACGCAGGUGCGGUACUGAGAGAUCUNNNNNNNNNNNNNNNNNNNNNNNNNNNNNNNNNNNNNNNNNNNNNNNNNNNNNNNNNNNNNNNNNNNNNNNNNNNNNNNNNNNNNNNNNNNNNNNNNNNNNNNNNNNNNNNNNNNNNNNNNNNNNNNNNNNNNNNNNNNNNNNNNNNNNNNNNNNNNNNNNNNNNNNNNNNNNNNNNNNNNNNNNNNNNNNNNNNNNNNNNNNNNNNNNNNNNNNNNNNNNNNNNNNNNNNNNNNNNNNNNNNNNNNNNNNNNNNNNNNNNNNNNNNNNNNNNNNNNNNNNNNNNNNNNNNNNNNNNNNNNNNNNNNNNNNNNNNNNNNNNNNNNNNNNNNNNNNNNNNNNNNNNNNNNNNNNNNNNNNCGGCGCGGCACAAUGGGUCGUGGGCAAGGCGCUGGCCCCCCUUGUCGAUGGCGUGCUGGAGGCUUGGAAUGGCAGCAACGAUUUGGGUCUCACCAUCGUUGCUCGGAGUAGGGAGCUCCUUCUUGUAAAGGUCACCCUCGAAACUGCCAGCCGCAAGCAGAUCGGCGGCCAGGCCAUGGAGGAGCUGUUGGGGAAGCUGCGGCACUUGGCGCACUGCGCCGAGGACUUACUGGACGAACUAGACUACUUCCGCAUCCACGACGAGCUCCAUGGCACAUACGAGGCGGCCGACCACCAUGCCAAGGGCGGUGUCCACGACCUUGUCCUCAAUAGUCGUCACACCGUCAAGGCCGUUGGCAAACUGGCAUUUGUAUCCUCACGCUGCUGCUGGUCUGCUACCAGCCCUGCAGGUGAUCAAGUAGAGGAUGCAAGACAACAGGUUAGCUGUUCCGCUUGGCCGCGUGCUAGGAAGAGAUCACACGGCAAUUCCUCCUCAGCGUCAAAUGCCAAUCAGGAGAUCAGCGGAUGCAUGCCCAAGCUCGGUAAACUCCUGCCUUGCUCAUCUUCCCCAGAUGUUCCUGAUGAUAAUCCUGUCCAGUCAACUAUUUUUGGUGCGCCACUGAGAGAGCAUGCGGAAGAGACACCAAUGCAGGAGUUUAACAGGGCUGUUAUCUCAGAGAGAAUGAAGUGCAUUGUAGAGCAACUACAGCCCUUGCGUACAGAGUUCACCACUAUUCUGCAGAGUUGUGGCCAUAACACUGUUCCAGGCAUUACCCAUGGUCGUCCCCUCACCACUGCUCGAAGUAUAGAGCCAAAAUUGUAUGGGAGGGAUCAGAUCGUGAAAAACAUCAUACAUGAUAUAACCAAGGGUAAAUGUCAGAACAAGGAUCUAACUGUGCUUCCGAUUGUCGGUCCGGGUGGGAUAGGGAAAACAGCUCUGAUACAACACAUAUAUCAUCAUAAAGAUGUCCGAAAUCAUUUUCAAGUACUGAUCUGGGUAUGUGUAUCCCUCAGUUUCAAUGUAAGUAAGCUGCUUGAAGAUAUUAAAAAUGAUAUCCCUGAGGUUAAAGAGGAAAAAGGGGGUAAACCGGAUGAGUUGAUUGAACAAAGAUUGAAAUCUAAAAGGUUUUUGCUUGUAUUGGAUGAUAUAUGGGGGAUUAGUACUGAGGAUGAUUGGGAAAAGUUAUUGCUGCCACUCAAAACAUCAGAAGAAAAGGGCAACAUGAUUCUACUCACAACCCGGUUUCCAGCAGUAGCAAAGAUGGUUGGAACAAUUGACCAUUCAAUAAAUUUGGAAGGUUUGGAACCUAACUAUUUUAGGGAGUUAUUCCAUGCAAUUGUCUUUGGUGAUGACCAAUGUAGACAAGAUCACAUUUUUUUGCUUGAGACCGGUGAAAAGAUAAUGGUAAAACUAAAGGGAUCCCCGCUUGCAGCAAAAACUGUUGGUAGAUUACUGAGAAAAGGCCUUAAUUUACGUCAUUGGAGAAAGGUAUUAGAAAGUAAAGAGUGGGAGAGACAGACUGGUGAAAAUGACAUUAUGACUGCCUUGAAGCUUAGCUAUGACUAUCUUCCUUUUGAACAACAACAAUGUUUCUCAUAUUCUGCAUUGUUUCCCGAAGAUUACGGAUAUAGUGCCACCGAGCUAAUCGACUUGUGGAUAGGACUUGGUAUUUUGCAACCUGAUGGUCAGAACCCAACAUUGGAAACUAAAGGUUUGAAUAAUUUAAAUGAUUUGGUCACACAUGGAUUUUUCAGAGAAGACAUUUUUUGUGGUCGUCUGCGUUAUGUAAUGCAUGACCUACUACAUGAUUUAGCAUUGAAGGUUGCAUCAAAUGAAUGUCUUACUAUGCAUCAUUCAACUGUGGGGCCUGUAGAAAUUCAUCCAAGCAUACACCACUUGUCUAUAAUCGUAGAUGGUAAUGAUACAGUGUCUCAUGAAAACUUCAAGAGUCAACUGAGAAAACUGAAGACAAGAUUGAAGGUUAAACAAUUGCAUACUUUGAUGUUAUUUGGAGUUAUGGAUGAAAUCAUGGCCAACAUUUUGGGUGAUUUGUUUAGGGAAGCAAGUGCUCUUCGUGUUCUCUGCUUGGUUAAUAUGUCGCCUUCUGUGGAGUCCAUGUUACAUAAAUUUCCAACACUUAUCCACCUACGAUACCUACGUCUGGGAAAAAGGUACGGGACAGAGAGGCAUUUACCACUUGCCAUUUCUAGAUUUUAUCAUUUGAGGAUUCUGGAUCUAAGAUGGCAGUAUGACUGUCGUGAUUUGCUCAAAGACUUGAGCAACCUUGCAAAAUUGUGUCGUUUUUAUACCCCAACAGAUGAGUUACAUUCUGAUAUUUUUAAUGUGGGAAAACUUAAACUCUUAGAAGAGUUGAAGAAAUUUAGAGUCAAUAAAGAAAGUGAAGGAUUUGAACCAGAGCAACUAGAACAUUUGACCGAACUAAGGGAGCUUGGCAUCUAUAACCUUGAGAAUAUACACACGAAAGAAGAAGCAGCCAAAGCAAAAGUGAUAGAGAAAAACUACUUGGAGAGGUUAACAUUGGAUUGGGAUAGUAACCGGUCUAAUAGUGAGCCUGAUGUGGAAGCAAUGGUUCUUGAGAGCCUUCAACCACAUAAAUAUCUUAAAGAAUUGUGCAUUAGAGGGCACAGAGGCCCUUUUUGUCCAACAUGGUUGGGUGAUGAGCCUGAUGUUGAACUUCUACAAUCUCUUCAUCUCGAUGAUGUUUCAUGGGAAAAUCUUCCUUCUUUCGGGAAGAUGUUGGAUCUUCAUACAUUAAUAUUGAAACAUAUUGCCGCAAUGAAGGAGUUUGUCAUAGAGCGAAGCUUUUCUAGGCUGAUAAGGCUUGAACUUGUUGGCUUGGAAAGUUUUGGAGAAUGGGUACUAUCACAGGAUUCUCAUCAUAUGUUUCCUCUUUUGCAAGAACUGAUUAUAAGGGACUGUCCUAAUCUUUUGGAGCUGCCAUUUUCAAACCACAUUGCUUACCCACCAGAUCAAGACUGGAACAGUGAUUCGUUUGCCAAAUUGCAAGUGCUUGAGAUUCAAAACUGUCCAGAAUUCUUGUUAGUGCAUCGUAUCCCGUGGACUGAAACUUUACAUAGUGUCUUUAUAAUGGAUGUAAAGCUACUACAAGACCUAGAAUAUACAAAGUACGACUCAAAAUCAUCCAAAUUGGUGGUUACUGGGAAGGAUGAACUGCGCAGCUUAGAUCAGGUGUUAGCAUUCAAUAACCUGACAGGGCUCGAGUGUCUGGAACUUGACAAGUGCCCACCUCUAGAGUUGAAGCACAUUGUGAUGUUAAACUCAGUGAAGUAUUUGGAUGUAGUAUCAGGUGAUCUGGUUGGGCUAUUAGGUCGUCAGAAUGAUUUUGAAUGGCAGCUCCCUGUUGAGCAUCUUGUGGUCAAGGACUUACGUGGUGCUAGUGGGAAGCAAUUGACAGAGCUCCUCUGCCACCUCCCAAGGCUCUCCGAAUUGUAUAUCAAAGAGUGUAAAAAUAUAACAAAACUUACAGUGGGGGUGGAUCUGCAACAAACAAUAUCAGCAGCAAAAUCAGAGGUUGAGCAGGAGAAAGAAGAUGAUGGGCUGGUGCUCUUCCCGGCCAAUCUCUCUAACUCACUACAGCUGUUGGCCAUCGGGGGAUGCCCAGAACUGGUCCUGGUGGACCCUUCAAGUUUUAUUCCUGAAAGAGGAGGAGAGUUCCCAGGCCUGCGAUCCCUCGAGAUGUUAGAAAUUAUUCACAACCCCAAGAUACUAUCUGGCGUCUCGUUUUCCUGCUGCUUUUCCCCGUCCUCUCUGCAAGAGCUCCGUCUCGAACAUGUGGAAGACAUGGGGACGCUGGAGCCCCUCUCAGACCUCACAUCUCUCACCCGAUUACAAUUGUCGGAUUGCGGAAAGGAUCUAAGAUGCAAGGGCUUGAGGCCUCUCCUUACCGCCGGGGGACAGCUCACAUCAUUAGAGGUCCGCGGCAGCCCUAGAUUCUUUGCUGGAUGGGAUCCUAAUCAUCCUAGUCAGGUGAUGCAGGACGGAGGAAAAGAGCAGGAGCUGCAGCAACUACAGCUAGUUUCCCCUCCGAGUUCAUCCAAACUGCAGUUUCUCCAUACAGAUGAGGCCAUGGGGCUCCUUGUUGUGCCCAUCUGCAGCUUCCUGUCCUCCUCCCUCACCCACUUGCACCUUGAUGGGAUCUCCCAAGAGAUGGAACGCUUCACCAAGGAGCAAGAGGACGCUCUCCACCUCCUAACCUUCCUCCAGCACCUCCAGUUUUAUGGAUUCAUCAAGCUUCAGAGCCUCCCUUCAGUACUGCACAAGCUUACCAACCUCAAGCUAUUAAGGGUUGUGGUAUGUCCGGCCAUCCGGUCAUUGCCCGAGGAUGGCCUCCCCAAAUCACUCCAAGAAUUAGAUGUAUACGCGUGCCGCAACGAGAAUCUAAAACAGCAGUGCAGGGGGUUAGGGGGAACCAUCCCAAAAAUCAAGCUGUAAGAAUUUGACUGACCCAAGGUACAGCUAACUUGUUUGUUCCCAUCACUUUCCAGAUCCCACCAUUACCCUUGUUUUUUUCCUGCAUUGUAAUCGUCUGACCAGUGUUUGUUUCCAUCUGCUAUGCAGGCCUGUGCCUUGGAGACCCCCUCGUACAUUCUUCUAGUCUUGUAGAGCUCAACUCUCGCCACACAUGCACACUUGCCACAUGGAUGAGGGUCUUUGUGGCCAUCUUCUUCCUUCCUCUACAUAAAUUUGGUAAGUACUCCCUCCGUUCCUAAAUAUAAGUCUUUGUAGAGACAUACUGAUGUAUAUAGACACAUUUUUGAGUGUAGAUUCACUCAUUUUGCUCUGUAUGUAGUCCAUGUUGAAAUCUUUACAAAUGACUUAUAUUUAGGAACGGAGGGAGUACAUUUAAACUAGAACUUUCCUUACUCCGGCUGUACCAUAUCAAUUAUUUAAGAUGUCUUCUCCACUCUCCUUGUCUUCUUACUCUCACUUUGAGAAAGAUAAUUACUUCUGGAAGUUUGCUUGUUUUUUCUUCCUAGAUGAGAAUCAUGCAGUCUGUCAUGUAUUAACAUUUGUUUUGGUUUUCUGUGUAGGUGUUCUUAUGUUCGUUCUCAUAGGUUUCUACGUACUUUUCAACUGCAUUUGGGUUUUCAUUACUCAUCGAAGACUUGGUGGUCUACUUGGCUAGUUCGGGUGUGGAAUUGAAAUAUCACCAUGGCAUAAUUCAGGAAUGAAUUAAUACUUCGGUGCUACACUACAAAUAUAAUGGCCAUCUUCUUCCUUCCUAUUAAUAAAUAUGGCAAGUACAUUGAACUGAAACUUUACUCCUGAUGUACCAUAUAUCAAUUAUAACAACUUCCACUUAUAAUCGUGCUAUAUCAUAUAUCCAUUUUUCUUCCCAAGACAGUGAAAAUGCUUCUCCUACGAAAUCAUAUCUAAUUGUUGUUUUUUCCAUGCGCCUUGUCUUCUUACUCACAAGUAUUAUCGGUUAAUGUCUCUUGAGUGUUCCUUUGUUUUUCAGGAAAUCUGUUUGUAUUCAUCAUUUGUUUUGGUUUUCUGUGCAGUUGUUCUCAUGUUUGUUCCCGUAGCUUCCUACAUAUUUUCUAUGUAAUUUCGGUGGCCGUCACUCAUCAAGAUUCGGUGGUGUACAAACUGUACAUGAUUAGUUCAAGUGUCAAGAUCAAAUAUCACCAUGGAAUGUUGUAGAAUAAAUCAGGCUUCGAUGUUCUGCUCCUGAGGUUUGCCAUUUUCUGACUCACUAAGUACUAUUUAAUGUGGCAAGUGACCUGAUAUUCACUCAUACUGGUACAGAAUUCCCUACUAGACCUUGAAUAUGCACUUUCAGUUAUUUUAUCCUAACAUGUUCUUUGCUUAGCAGGUCUGCUUGUGAUAUGGAUUUUAUAGGAAUCACAUACUCUAUUAUGUUCCAUCUUUAAGAGAUAUCAGGUGUAUUUUCUGUUACAAUUCAGUGAUGAUUUUUUUAGGAUCCUGAUAUUUUGAAUAAAUAUAAUCAAAUUAUGCUCUUUCUUGAAAAUAAGAAUGAAGGUAUGCUCUUGUGAGAGCUCGAACCAUACAUACAAUAGUCACCAACAGACUUACGAAGCUGCACAAAUGUCAACAUAAUAUGGCAUCAUAUGAUUUUUAUUUAUUUUCACAUAUUAAUUAUCAUGUUAUGCUUCGCAGGUCUUAUAAAUAUUCUCUUUUGGUAAAAAUCACCAUGCAGUCCUAGACAUGAUUUGCAUUUCAGGUGAUGAGGAAGUUACCGUUAUUGCUUAGUAAUAAGGUACUGAACUGACCAGAACUCCAAAACAGUCUACUCUACAUACUUAUUUUUCAGUUUUGGGCUACAACAGUUUUCAGUGUUCACUGUUUUUAAUCCUUCCUAUUUUAAAUAGACAUAUAAUGUCGGAAGUUCACGCCAGUUACGUUUUCAUACUUAAGCAUGUAGGUCAUCCGUUCGGCCACAUGAGAAUGGUACCACCCAGUGGAUGCAACUUCCUCUGUUCAGAUAUCAGGCUAUCACCAAAAGGUAUGUCCAGCAUGUUUCUCCCUAUGCAUAUGUAUGGAAGGUCGUUGUGUAGCUGUAUGGUGUUUCUGCAGGAAUAUGUACUCACUUAUGGUUCCGAAGUUUCAGAUUCAACAAAGAUUCUUCUUUUGCUUGAUAAUUGUGGCCGGAUGCAACUUCAGAACUACACAACGCAGCAGUAGAGUGAAGGUAUGCCUCCUUUAUGUGCUAAAAUAGUGAAUUGUUCAAGUUAUAGUGGAAGUAAUAUGUUGCUUGCAAUUUUCAGAACCUAUUAAUAAUCAGAACUAGCUUACUAUGUUGACCAGUGCAUCUCGAUACAAAUUACAUGGAAAUUACCUUUGUUAAGUUUGCCACUGUUCUUUCAUCAAUAUAGUAAACACCGUUGGAAAAAUAAAAUUUGUUACCCAAUCCUGGGCAGUAUCUCAAGAUCUCGAGCAUUAUUUUUGUAAUCUUUAUAACGAUCUCAGCUAUUGCCCUGUCAACACUUAACCAGGAUGUCACCUGUGCCAAGAAUUUAGUUGCUCCAUGGUUGCUUAUACGCGGAUAUUACGUGACCAGUGACUGAUCAGUGAGUCCCUCACUCUUAUUGCCCCUUUCCCCACUUCAAUUAGUUACGUUGCUAUUAGUAGAGCUAAUCAAUGCCAGUUAUGGUGUUACUUCAGUUUUGUUGAUCAAUCUCCUUGGAAGCAAAAGGCUGGAAUUGGCAAGAAAAUGUGGUUGGUUCAGGUAGUCUUCUGACACUGCAACAGCCACACGGUUAUGAACUGCAGGGUGCACACUCGUGAGUAUACUUGGAUCUUGAUGUUUCUCUGAAUUUCCCGACCUUGUGUGAUAUUAUCCUUAAUGACUUGUUCACCAUUAUGUUAUCCCUAGGGCCUAGGCUGCGGUGAUCGAAACCAUCUUGAGCUUACACUGGUCAACUCAUCGGUCAGAAUUUGCCGCGGCGAUUAUCUAAUCAGGCUAACCCUUUUUGCCUUCACAUGGUGUGUGGUAUACAUACUAUGAUGCACUUUUCUGUUUGUAUGGUAUCUUCCCCGGGCGGAAUUGUGGCAAGGCAAGUACUUGGAGUUUUUGGUUGGCCCCUUUGCCAGCACAUGUGGAAGCUACUCGCAAAAUGGCCAACGCUUCCUUGACAACCAGAGAAGUCCUGCUUGAAGUUGGCCAAUGGUCUUCAGCGUCAGUACCGGAGAAAUUACUUACCAUGCCUCUCCAUCUUUGAAGAAUUCCAGACCUUCCAUCACCGGUGCACUUAACUAACAAUGGUCAACGCGCGGCCGCCCUAGUAUCCCUUGCCGGAUGUCUGCCGUCUGCUAGCCGGCGCACUGUACCGAAGAAAUAUAGGAAUGAAAUUACAAGAGCAUUAAUUCUGAAUCCCCACACCCCCAAGUGUACCAGCCCAUGAUGGCCCGCCCAUGUAGACGAGUCGUAUCAUGUUCACAGCCCAGCAACUGAAUUGCUGUAUUGGAUGCCAUAUUGACGCCCCUAAAAAAAUUCCCUAUUGACCGGAAAAUCCCUUGUGCAUGGAUCUCGGCACCAUAGCCCACGCUCAGGAUAACGGGCUACCUGUCGCCCGAGCACCAAAACGCCGCUCUCGAUCAUUAGCCACUAAACUAUAUAAUAACCCCUAAAAAAACUAAACUAUAUAAUAACAGUAUUGUACACCAUUUCAUCUUUCUUACUGAAUAAAUUAAAUAAAACCACAGUGUAUAGCCAUACGAAAGAAUUCAGUUCUAUUGAUCUAAAACCAGAUCCAUCCAAGGUCACACAGCUGGUAAUUUCCGCUAUACCUAUUCAGACUACAAUGUACACUAGUUGACAUAAUUUUUGAAAUAUGUUUGUGACAUAUAUAGCAUUUUUUAAAUGUUUGUAACACUUAAAAAAUGUUCACAAAUUGAAAAAUACAUGAAAAAAUAAAAAAUUGUUUGCGCAAUUUAAAAAUAAUGUUAAUAACAUGUACCCUAAAUGGGAGGAUAAUUUUUUUAUGAAUUUGAAAAAGAAGAAAAAUAGAAGAAUAAAUAAAUAAAUAAAACGAAAAACACAUGAAAAAGGAAAACGAAAAGCCCGGCCAGAACCUUCCCAAAACCAACGGAAGGUUCCCAAAACCGGGAGCAACUAAUUAACGAGCGCUCCUUCGGGAGCCUCGCAACGAUCAGCGCCAUGUGUCACGCUCUGGGAGCUCCCUCCGGAUUUUUUUUAUUUUUCCGCACGCGUUUUUGGCUUUUUAAACGGUUUUUUUUGGGUUUUUUCAACGUUGUGGUUUUCCACCGGUCUUCCCUAGCUUUUAGACCCAAAUUUUUUUUGAAAAAAAAAUUGCGCAAAAAAACCCUUUUUUUUCGCAAGAGUCACGGUUUUGUUUCCGCGAGAGGCACGGCCAUGCCUCUUGGAAACGGAAAAAAAAACGCGUUUUCGGUUUUUUUCCUUUUGCGAGAGGCACGGUUGUUCUUUCGCGAGAGUCACGGCCGUGCCUCUUGGAAACGAAAAAAAACACUUUUUCUGUUUUUUUCUUUCGCGAGAGGCACGGUUUUGCUUCCGCGAGAGUCACGGCCGUGCCUCUUGGAAACGAAAAAAACACUUUUUCUAUUUUUUUUCUUUCGCGAGAGGCACGGUUUUGCUUUCGCGAGAGGCACGGUUGUGGUUUCGCAAGAGUCACGGCCGUGCCUCCUUGGAAACGAAAAAAAACGCAUUUUUUAUUUUUUUUCUUUCGGGAGAGGCACGGUUUUGCUUCCGGGAGAGGCACGGUUGUGAUAUCGUCAGAGGCACGGGUGUGCCUCUUUCGGAAAGGGAAAAAACCCGUGCUCCCGGUUUGGUUUUUUCGUCCGGUUUUUUUCGUGAAAAAAAAGUUCGUCAAAAUCUAUCAACAUGGGAUCAGUUUUGAAGAUCUCGAUGCGAGGAAUCCAACGGCGAAAGGGGUUCGAGAUUUGAGCGCACGGUUUAAAAGAUAAAACGUUUUGAAUAAACGGAUUUACGAAAAAAGGAAAAACUCGCAGGUUGCGACAAGUGGUGCACAUGCAGCGCGCCACUUGUCGCAACCUGGGGAAGUUCGAGUGAUCUUCGCAAGGAGUACUCCUUAAUUAGUGAUUUCGCCCAAAACCAGUUCGCACUUGUACCUGUCUUUUUUUGCGGGGGAAAGCAUAUCAUUUAAUCAACCAGGGCCUUACAAUCGUUUGAAAUAAUAAUACUAACCUCCUUUGGGGAGUUUGCUAACCAACAAGCAGUGCGUUGGUGACUACGACCUAGAGGACCUAGAGCUGCCAUAGCAUGAGCAGCAUUAUUUUGUGAUCUACAAAUUUUCCGAAAAUGUACAGGUCGUUCCUUCGUCAUCUCAGCGAUCUCAGUCACAUGAUACAUGUUACUAGAGCGCACUUGUACCUGGGGAUGGCUCUAGGGUUAGGUAACCCUGGCGACACCAUGGCGGCGGCUGCGCCGCCGCCCCCGUCCGGCGUGGCAUCGGCCCCUGCCGGCUGCCGUCCCAUGUGCAGACGACAUCUGCCCUAUGGACACCUUGCGGCCCCGUCCGCGCGCUUGCCGUCGGGACUCCCUGAUCGGCUCGGUCCGCAGCUCUCAUCUAUGAUAGAGUUUGGCGGCUGCACAACCCUAAACCCGUUUGCUAAGGAAACGCAUCGGAGCAACACCGCAUAUACAGCCAGAUUGAAGGCAAGGUUCGCAGUUUUCCUCAAGGUCAGGAAGCCACCGGAUCGCACCACUCCAACAGGCAGGUCACCGGACAAACUAGCUCCACGCGUUGCGAUGUCGCCGGCUGUGUCCCCCUUUGCGAUCCUGCCGGCUGCAACCAUGGAGAAACCGGAAGGCGGUGGGGGCGAUUAUGGGGCUCCCCUAGUGGACGCUACCCGCCCGAAGCCGUCUGAUGGUGGAACCGGGGUUGCCCUGGUAGGUAGUGCAUGCGCGCCGGUCGCCGUGGCGGUGUACAGGGGCCUCAGUUUCGCCUCUGAUGCAGACUCUACCCUCAGUAGGAGCAGCCGUAGAGAAGGCCGGCAAGGUGUUCACAAAGCCAAUACAGCUUACCAGGAGAUGCGUGGACUUGGCAGUCCAGCUACUGUUCGACGCAGGGGGCAUUCAUUGCUGUUCAACCUGAGUUCAUGGACUUGGCUAACAGAGAUGCUACAGCAGAUUAGUACUACCAAUGUGGCAAGUGCAGCUGCAACACAGGUGCAGGAGGCGUUCGUUGCUAUCCAACUUGAGUCAUAUGCAGCGGGCCAACAAUGGCACAACUCACUUGUCCCCUGGAGGUCCAAUAUGAUCCUGGCCUUGCAAUACCUCUUGUCGAACGCCCGCGCUGCAGAUGCAGAGAUGUCUGAGGACACAUCCACUCUUGAUAAACACAACACUAGUGAGCUUCUGGAUGUUGGUUGUCAGGAUACUCUGGGCACUGCUUUGGUAGUGCACGCCAAGGUGAGCGUGAAGGAUAGACCCGAGGGGACACCAGAGAAGCAGAGGCUAGGUGUGAUGGGAGGUUGUGUGCCGUCUGUCGCUUUGGAGAAGGAGAGGGAUGAUACCAUGGAGGCAACCGGCUUUGGGGCCGCCGGUCAACUGACGGGGCCAUCAGUGGCGCCCCGUCAGGAGCAAUGAGUACCUUAAGUUGGAACUGCCGAGGGGGAGGGAACUCUCGGACAGUUCGGGAUCUCGUGAGUUUGGUGCAAACUCAUUCCCCUUGUAUUGUCUUUUUAUGCGAAACUAGCCAGUCAAAAGAAAAAAUGAAAAGAUAUCGCCCUCGAUUAGGCUUGAGUGGUUUCGAGGCAGUUGAUAGCAAUGGUCUUAGUGGAGGUCUCGCACUAUAUUGGCACGAGUCUGUGCAAGUUGAUAUAAAAGAUAUGAAUGAACGAUACAUUGAUGCGUAUGUGACUUCUGUAGCAGGUGAGCCACCUUGGAGGCUCACUUGCGUCUACGGCGAGCCCCGGACGGAGCACCGACACCACAUGUGGUCGCUCCUUCGGGUAGACAUGCCAUGGGCGGUGAUUGGCGACUUCAACGAGGCCAUGUGGGGCUUCGAGCACUUCUCUGAUACUCCUCGCCCGACAGGUCAAAUGAUUGAUUUUCGUGAUGUAUUGGAAUUAUGUGGACUAGGUGAUCUUGGUUUUUCAGGACUGCCGUACACAUAUGAUAACCGGCGGUCCGGACGAGCAAAUGUCAAGGUGCGGCUGGACCGGGCAGUGGCAAAUAAUCUGUGGCGUGAUUUAUUCAUGGAGGCGAAAGUCCAACACUUGGUAGCACCAACCUCUGACCAUGCCCCGAUCCUCCUUCAGUGGGUUCCUGAACCGCCUAGGGAGAAGGCGGGCAGGAGGUGCCGCCACUAUGAGGUGGCGUGGGAACGUGACCACGCACUGCCGGAGGUGAUCCUACAGGCUUGGACAGCGGCUGGUAGUAUGGGGGACCUGGGCAACGUUGCGGCGGCCCUAGGGGAGCUCAUGCAUGCGUUGCAAGGGUGGAGUAAGAAAAUUUUUGGUAACGUGAUAAAAGAGAUUAAUAAAUCCCGUAACCGCCUUGAGGAACUAAUGGCUAUGAAUGCAGAUCAAAGAACCAUCAGGGAAGCUAGAGACCGCCUGAAUGAAUUACUCUAUAGGGAGGAAAUGAUUUGGAUGCAACGGUCUCGUAUUGACUGGCUACGAGAAGGCGACCGGAACACUAAUUUUUUUCAUCGUAAGGCGGUUUGGCGGGCACGGAAAAAUCGUAUUAAAUCUCUUGUUGAUGAGUCUGGGGAAGUACAGAAGGAGAGCACCAAGAUGGCUGAUAUGGUCACUGAGUAUUUUACCAAGCUUUUUACUGCUGAUCCAUCCCUUUGUGCAGACCCAAUAAUUAAUCUUCUUGGCACCCGUGUUACCAAUGGUAUGAAUGACAAACUAUGUGCAGAGUUCUCUGAUAAGGAGAUUGCAGAUGCGCUUUUUCAGAUUGGUCCUUUGAAAGCGCCAGGGCCGGACGGCUUCCCAGCCCGUGUGUUCCAGAAAAACUGGUUGGUCAUGAAGGCCCAAGUCACUGCCGCUGUAAAGGAGUUUUUCCGGUCAGGGAUUAUGCCAGAGGGGGUGAACGACACUGCCAUUGUUCUCAUCCCAAAAAUUGAUAAUCCGGUAAAGCUUACUGAGUUUAGGCCUAUAAGUUUAUGCAAUGUUAUUUAUAAAGUGGUGUCGAAGUGCCUAGUGAACAGGCUAAGACCUAUGUUGGAGGACAUCAUAUCACCAGAACAGAGCGCCUUCGUUCCAGGUAGACUGAUUACAGAUAAUGUUCUCGUUGCAUUUGAGUGCAUUCACCAUAUUCAGCAGGAGAAAGACCCAGCGAAAAGCUUCUGUGCCUAUAAGCUGGAUCUGUAUAAAGCUUAUGACAGGGUUGACUGGGGGUUCUUGAGGCGGACGAUGCAAAAUUUGGGUUUCGCUGACCGAUGGGUGAACUAGAUUAUGACUUGUGUCACCUCGGUUAGAUACACUAUCAAAUUUAAUGGCACCCUCUUGGAUUCGUUCGCACCGUCGCGCGGGCUACGGCAAGGUGAUCCCCUUUCACCAUUUUUGUUCCUGUUUAUUGCUGAUGGGUUAUCUGCUUUGUUAAAGGAUGGAGAGGAAAAGAGAAAAUUCUCAUCCCUGAAGGUAUGCAGAAGAGCUCCAGGAAUAUCUCACUUGCUGUUCGCGGACGACACCUUGCUCUUCUUCAAGGCCGACCCACAAGAAGCGGAGAAUAUCCGCAAUAUUAUUUUGGCUUAUGAAGGGGCCACGGGGCAGCUAAUUAAUCCGGCAAAAUGCAGCAUUUUGUUUGGGAAGCAUUGUCCUGAGAUCUAUAAGGAAAAUGUGCGUAUGACUCUACAGGUUCAGCUCACCACUUUUGAAGAAAAGUAUUUGGGGUUGCCGACGCCUGAAGGUAGGAUGUCCAAGGGUAAAUUCCAAAACCUACAAGCCCGCUUAAUGAAAAGGAUUAUUGCUUGGGGAGAUACGCUUUCUCUCGCAGGGAAGGAAACAAUGAUCAAAGCUGUUCUUCAAGCUAUUCCCACUUAUAUGAUGGGGAUCUUCAAGUUGCUCAUGUCCGUAUGUGAUGACCUGAACAGAAUGGUUAGAAAUUUCUGGUGGGGUUAGAAGGAGGGUAAGCGGAAAACACACUGGAUGGCUUGGCCAGAGAUCCAAAGGCAUAAACAGUGCGGUGGUCUGGGAUUCCGUGACUUCAGGGUGUUUAAUCAGGCCCUGCUAGCGAGGCAGGCUUGGCGUCUUCUAAUUAAACCCAAUAGUCUUUGUGCGCAGGUGUUAAAGGCUCGCUAUUACCCCGACGUACGGCUAGAGGACACAGUGUUCUCUGGGAACUCAUCUGUUACAUGGCAAGUGAUCCAACACGGCCUCGAACUCCUCAAAAAGGGGCUGGUGUGGCGGGCCGGCAGUGGGACACAAAUUCGCAUUUGGCGGGAUCGAUGGCUGCCUCGGUCACCCUCAGGCCAGCUCAUUACCUCGCAAGGCACGUGUAGACUCCGAAGGGUCUCGGACCUGCUGGAUGCGAGAGGUGCUUGGAGGCUGGACCUUCUUUGUCGUCACUUCCUGCCAGUCGACAUCGACAUCAUCACGAGCAUCAAGACCUCUCCACGCGCCACGGAGGAUGUCCUAGCUUGAACUCUGGAGAAAUGUGGUGUCUUCUCCGUUCGGUCAGCCUACCGCUUUUCCAUGGACGAGCGCGAGCGUCCAUCGGCAAGCGCCUCGAGCAGGGCACCGGAUGGUCGUCGCGCCAUCUGGAAGACCAUAUGGGGGUGCCCUGCUCCCCCAAAGGUACGAGUGUUUGCAUGGCGGCUGGUCUCAAACUCCCUUGCUACUUGGGCUAAUAAAUUUUCUAGAACUUUGGAGCCUAAUGAUAUGUGUCCACUUUGUGGUGUGGAACGCGAGGAUGUCUUCCAUGCUAUGUGCAGAUGUCCACGGGCAAAGGACCUAUGGAGCGCGAUGGCGAAGGACUGGAUUCUUCCGGACAUCAGUUUGAUCCAGAACACGGGGCCGGAGUGGUUAUUCGGUGUUCUGGAGCCCCUCUCGGAUACUUCUCGCAUGGUGGCCCUAAUGAUAUUCUGGAGAUCAUGGCACGUUCGUAAUGAGAUCAUUCAUGACAAGGAACCGCCCCCCACAGAAGUUUCCUGCAGAUUCUUGCAUAGCUAUAUUUCUUCGCUUCUCUGUAUUCAGCAGCACCCAAUGGGAGACGUUGUAAAAGGCAAAAUGGUGCUCACAGACCCGGCAUGCCUAGCUGGUGUAGUUGCUGCACCGGCGCCGAGCACGAGAGGCGCAGACCCGCGACCAACAGAGAAGUGGGAGCCUCCCCCUGCUGGAUGGCUAAAGCUAAACGUCGACGGUGCCUUCUCCGAGCAUGCGGGUAAUGGUGGAGCUGGUAUGGUCCUGAGGAACAGGGACGGCAACAUUAUCUUCACUUCAUGCAGACACUUGUUUGCAUGUGAUAAUGCACUACGAGCUGAGUUGGAGGCGUGCAAAGAGGGAAUUUCUCUUGCGCUGGAAUGGAGUUCGUUGCCUUUUAUCAUUGAAACGGACAGCUCAGUGGCUGCAAGGAUGAUCAGCCAAGCUGCUGUUGAUCGAUCUAAGGAUGCUGCACUAGUCCAGGAGAUCAAAAUGCUAACCAGGGGUGAUAGGAGGGUCCAGGUGAAGGCUAUUAAACGUGAGAGGAAUCAGGUUAGUCACGAGCUUGCUCGUAUAGCUCGUACAGACAUAAAAACUGCAGUUUGGCUGGGUUCUGGCCUUGAAGGGAUUGUAAAUCUUUAUGUACUGGAUCAGCUUGAUUCAGGUUGAUUGGUACAAAUCCUUUUCCCCCGCAAAAAACAAAGAAAAAAAGAGCGCACUUGUACCUGUCUAGCUGGUAGCUUCCGAAAACCGCUCGCACACAAUCGCUGUUUGGCCGGCCUAGUCGCGGCGAGCGCUGGAUCGGUCUCGCAGUAAGCGAGACAUAGUAAUUAUGGCUCGAGUUCGUUCUUUUUUCUGCAGACUGGUCCGAUCAGUCACAUGGCUGGUAGAAGGAGAGAAGAAAUGGUCAUAAAUGAACCCCAAUCAAUCAACGAGUAAGCGUACGUGUAAAUUCCAUGGAGACGAGAGGAAGUAAAAUGAAUCACAUGGAAGAUGCAUGGAGUUCCAUAAACACAGCAGAGCACCCACCCAAGAAAGACCCAACCCAAACUUAUGUAUGUCAUACAGUGACACGCCAACAGUCCUGUUUGCAUGCUGCUGCAAACUACCUAAAACAUCACCCACCCGAACUACUAUGUUUUUCAAUCACAUGGAAGAUGUAUGCACUUCCACACACAACACCGACUCAACCGAAACUAUGUAAUGAAUAUCAUAAUCAAAAGGCAGAUCCUUCUUAAACUCCAAACUCACACUAAAUUCUCAGGCAUGCAGGUUCCACUUCAUCCAUUCAUUCAUAUAUGAAGUGAUUUGACCUCACUCACAUAUUUAGCGAAGUUAAUUAGUUUUUCUAAAUCGCCAGCAUCACAUCUCUUGCAGCAAGUUCACACGAGAUUGGGGUUUUUUGACCUCCUGCCGGCUCCGCCGCCGGUCCGCCUCGUCUCCGGUGACCUUAGGGCCAUGCAGGCAGGAGGGUUGAUGUUCCGCUUUUAGGCGUUUCUUUGAGAUUGGUUAGGGUGUGUGUCCUAGUCAGAAAGGCGUGGCGGCGGUGGCGGCUCCCUGAAGAUGGAAUAAUAUACUCUCUCCGCCUAGGCCCCGUGCCGAUGAUGCAACUAGCGUUCCAUAAAGCAUGAUGCUGCGAGGGUGAGACUUGUCCUUUUUCCGGCGGCCUCGGUCAUGGCUUCUUUGUUCUAAACUUCGGUAUUAACUGAUAAAAAUGGCAACGCAUAGCACCUGUACAAGGUGGAGCAUUGGGAGGAGCUUUUUUUUUUUUGAUGUGGCAAGUUAUUUAAAAGGAGAGAGAUGAAUGUGGUGAUCCCAGGAAGAAACAAUGCUAAGCGUGUGAACCUAGGCAAAACUUUUAAAGGAAGGAAGCCCAUCAAUACAUGAAGAGCUUUAGUUGCUAAAUCAUUAAAUGAAGCAAGCUUAGCAACCAUAAGCUAAGAACCUAUACAUUGAAGAGUAUAGCUACUAAGCUAUUUAAUGUGCUUAGCACCUCAUCUAAGCAUUCAUGCAUUGGCAGCAGCCUAAGUGGAUAGAGUAGGAUGCUCCUCUUACUACGAAGUUUGUACUACUACUACCACUAUACAACUAGGUACAUGCACGGCACAACAUCGUAGGAACAAAAAAAAGAAAAAAAUUUGUUUUGGGUGAUUUAUCUUUUUUUUCAGUCAACGUAGUAUGAAUAAUAUGAUGCGGAGAGCACCCAUGAAGUCACGUGACACGUCUGGAGGUCUUAUUGAGAGCUUCUUGUGUGGAUCGAUCACACUGUCGUGUUGCCGUUCGAGAAGAGCGUGUAUGGGUACAAUUGGGUUAUAGUAUUAGAUCUGAAUCGCAGCCACCUGGACCAUUGGAUCAACAUCAAUCAACGGUUUAUAUCGUGUGCAAAUACACGCAUUGGCUGCAUAAAAAUAAUGGAUAUAGAAUAUAUAAUACAUAAUACACAAUACCGCAUAUUGGGUUUCUCUAAAGUCAAAUGUUGUAUAUUCUCAACAAGUUUGUAGGAAAAUGUAUUAACAUAUACACCACCAAAUAUAUAUCAUUUGAUUCAUCAUUGCUUUUAUUUCCACAUCAUGUAAAUUAGUUAGUAUAAAUGUUCAUAUUGUUUUCACCAAAUUUGGUCAAGCUUUAUAAAAAUUUGGCUGCAGUCAAAGCUACAUGCGGAGUAAAUUACAAAUGGAGGGAGUGGAAUAGAUAUAGAUAUAACUACACAAAUAAAAAACACAGUUUAGUAAUAUAGUCUAUAGAUAUAGAUAAGGCUACUAUCUUUUUUUCUAGAUUAGAACUCGCGUUGUUGUGUACACAUUGUUUUGCCGCUAUAAUUUGGAUUUGCGGGGUGUGUAGGACUACUGUCUUGUUCAGAUCCUAUAAUCCACCAUUAUCCAUAAUUAAUUAAUAUUGGUAAUUAAGAUUGUGUUAUCUUAGUUCUAGCCGGUUCUUCAGUUGCUUGGAGGAACUCCAUCUCGUUAUUCAGGUUGAUUUUGUGCAUACGACAAGAUCAUCGACCAUCGAAGAUUGGUUUAGUAACGAUUGUCGAUUUGUAUAUAUCACCGGGUACGAUAUAGCUGGAUCGUCAACAUCAAAUCUAGCAAAUCGAUACUUAUCCCACUCUGAUUGAAAGAUUGGGUCACCAUCAUAAGACUACCACCUAGAAAAUUCAUUCCCUAUAACAUACACAUGAGUACCCAUCUCAUUAUCCAGGUCCAUUCCUCCCUCUCUUUCUCGAAACACACACACCUCUCCACACGAUGCGUGUCUCUUGGUCUCUCCCUCAUCCCAUGAAAAAGGGCACACCGCCAUUCUCUUCUUCUUGCUAUCCCCAUCUAGGUAGUUAGAUAUCCCUGCAACAAACAAAAAUUCAUCUCUCUCUUGACUAUCUCUUUCUACCACACAUAACCUUAGACCCCCUAGCUAGUUGUGCUGUCGAGGUCUAUCUAGCUCUCUCACAAGUAAAAAGACGUUGUCUGUGUCCCUUCAUCGCACACACACUAUCGCUCUCCCAUAUCCCCAACCUCGUAACCUUGUCGAUCCCGACGUCACACGCACCUCUCUCUCUCUCUCUCUCUCUCUCUCUCUCUCUCUCUCUCUCUCUCUCUCUCUCUCUAACACAAACACGCACACACCCUCUCUCUCCCUUUCGUACACUCCUCUCUCUACCACACACACAGUCUUUCGAACACGCAUAUGCCCCUCUCUCGUUAGAUAUCGUUGUCCCCGCCCCCCUCUUUGUCACACAAAUAUUCUCUCUAUAUCUAUCUUUCGCAAUAACACAUGCAUGGUCUAAAUUGAAAUCAACUACAAAAAUGAGCUCUGGUUACAAAAAUCAAAUCCACUCCCAAAAACAAGAUGAAAAUAGGGUGAAAUCGUGCACACAAAUGUUUGUUGCGUGCAUGAAUGUCCAUGAUAUGGAUGUACUACUCUUUUUUUUGGAUUAUAUGGAUGUACUACUCGUACAUCCACACAGACCUAUUUUACACAAAUUAUGGUGCGCAUGUGAUGUUUGUUGUACUACUCCUGCCAGCCUUCCUCCGACAUGUUCCAACAUAUUGUGCUACUUGAGAUUCUACUUUUUUUUCUCAGACCAUGUGAAACCAUGAAAAGGUCAACCCCCGCCCUCACCAGUAUUGUAGCUCGAAGCUCCCAUACGGACACAACACCCACCGGAGUACGCAGCCGUUGCCGAAGCGUACGGCGCCACGGCCUUGGAAGAGGACGGAGUCUCCGACAUUGCCGAGGUGGAACACGCCCUCGACGGCCGCGAGUAGCGUGCGCUGACUAGCCAUGCGGAGAACAGUGUGAUCUAGCGGCUCGUGCUCAUCGGCCACGAGGGGUAGCUAUGCUCCAGCAGCAUGCCCUGGUCGGUCAUAAGGAGUGCAUCGCGUCCUUGCUGCUCAUAAUGUGGACGAGCGCGUUCUCCAGCGCAUGCUCGCGAGCAUCGCAUCCUCGCCGCUCUCGACGUGGACGAGAGCACGCCCGCGAACAUCGCAUCUUCGCCGCUCCUGACGUGGACAAGCGCUCAGGCGCACGAGUGUGUGCUCCAACAGCACGACCGCAAGUAUGACAUCCUCACAGCUCACGAGGUGGUUGAGCACGUGCUCCAGAUAGUAUCCAAGGAGUCGGGACGCGAGCACCGCGCCCCUGGCUACGAGGAGUGUUGCAUGGUGCCCAUCGCGGUUUAGGAAAAUCCCGUGACUCUGCCCCUCAGGAGCGCGAGCUCUAGUGGGCACUCGAGGAGUCCCACGCCGAUAUGUAGGUGCCGGCGGACGUGCAAGAUUAUCCUUCGAGCUCUCCUCCUCCUAUGAAGACAUCUCCACCGUCCCCGUCGUACGUCCUCUGCCUCGGCUCCGGUGGACCUUUGGAGUUUAGUUGUAUGGAACAUUAAUAUUUGGAUUAAUUAUACAUCUACCAAAAUGUGAAGGAUCAAGAGUAAUGCAGAAAAUAACAUAUGACUAACAUGAAUAGAUGAUGUGGCGGCAUUGCAUGCUGAAGAGUAACGCAAGUAUAUUACAAUUUAUGGAUUGCAUGCAUGACUAGCUUAUGUGACAUGGUUGCAUGGCUAGGAAAGGCUAGGGAAAAAUAAAUAUAUAAUGUGUUUAGAGUGCACUUCACUAAAUGGGAGCACGUAAAUAUCAUAUCUUUAGAGUGCACUCCACUUUUUUGGACGCUUAGGUGCACCGGAUGCCGUGCCACACUAUAAAAUGUUAGGAAAAAAAUCUGCUCCAAUGUUUAAAAAAAUCUAUUAUUAUCUUGAAACCAGCCACACCCGUCCUCAUCUCAUCAAAACAGCCUGAGGAAUAUGUCUUGGGUGAAGCAUAGUUUUUUUACUGAUAUAUGAAUAUCAAAACUAGAGUGUUUAUAUUUCAAAUUUGUGAACAAGUAUUAUUCUACUACUUUGGAUCCAUUGCAACGCACGGGCCGGCACAUUGGUAGUACCGUAGUAGUAAUAAGAAAUGAUUUUCGAGUUUGACACGAGUUCAUACAGCGGGAGCACCACAAGGCCUGACGCAGGAGUUACAUUUCCCUCUCGGGGCCCACGGGACUGAGCUUCAGCGGCUUACUGCACCUGCCUUUGUGUCAAUGACAUGUGGACCCUAUAUGUGGAUGGCCCACAUGUCAUUCUCACAAAAGGCAGAGGGGCGGUGGAACCGAGAGGGGUGAGGCGCAGGUCGGGGGACGUGUGGAGUCAUGGGUUCGAGCGGCGUCAUGGGAAUCGUGUGUGGUUGUGGUAAAAACUUGAUGGUCGACGCAGUUCAGCUGGCCCACAUGUCAUGCACAUAAAGGCAGAGGUGUGGUGGGGCCGAGAGGGGUGAGGCGCACGUCGGGGGACGUGGUGUAGUGGGUUGGAGCGGCGUCGUGGGAAUCGCGUGUGGCAGUGGUAGAAACGUGAUGGUCGCCGUAGUUCAACUUUCAUGGACAAGUUGCCAUGUCUACUAACACAUGCAUUGCAUACCAAUCACUGCAAGGAGUAGUAGAGAAAACUAGGCGGGUAAAUAGUUCAUUAUAGUCAAGCGAACCUACACUACUACACUUGUUCCAAAGACAUCCACACCAGCGGAAUAGUUCAUCUAUAUCAAUGUGCAUAGAGAAAAAAAAAUAUUUUUUACAAGAGAGGAAAUAGUUCAUCCAUCUAUAAUGCCCUGCUGCUGGUGCAACUUCUUCUUCUUCUUCUCAUUUUCUGUGGGAGACGGCUUCACAACAAGCUCUUUCAAACUUGCAGCUAUCUCGAAACUCACGCAGGCAUCAAGGACAGCAUAUUUUAUCCGCUCAUAGGUCAAGGGACAGAAUUUGCUACGUCGAAUAGGGAUGGUGUUUCUUUAUCACAAUCGUCUACAUGAAUUUUGGUUUGUAGGCCAGCGAUGUUUUCCAAGUCAAGGUUGUACGGCUCCAGCUUCUGUGUGUCCCCUUCGAUAGCUGCCCCCCAGAAGUAUAUGUCCUCCUGAGACAUGAAAUCAUGGAGCUCACCUGAUAGGGAGGGCGCAUGUAUGAUGUGAUACACCAAAACUUCAUCUUCGAGGCACAGCUGAAGGACGACGCGUGUUGGAUCUUCCCAGUGGCACGCUCCAUGCACUCUGCGCUGAGACAGAUGACCUUCAUGUCCACCUUUUCGAGGGAGUUGGAUACACUGUUGAUCCACUCCCGAACAACCCUUGGGUGGUCGGUGACGGUGGCAACUAUGCUCAAUGAGCCUUCGACGAGGACAUGUUUGACGCUAAAAACCUGCAUAGGGAUCUCUUUCACCAUUUGUAACCGCUGGACCGGAGGGCUAUGGUUUGGAGCAGGAUUAAGAUGGCUAGUCUAACUGAAGAAUAUGAUUAUUUAAAGGGGCUCCGGAAUUACUCCAGGAGUAUCUGAAGAGGUUAAAGCAAUGUGAAUCCAGUGGGGUUUGAAUGCAAAUUAAGGAGAGGUGAAGAAGCCGAGGAAAAUUGAUUCCCGAUGAAGAAGUAAAUGCGAGAAGUGGCAUGCAAGCAGUUGAUUAGACGGCUAGGUAGACCAACCUGCAAAACAAAAAGGCUAUGCGGGCAGCAUACUGAGAAGUGGUACAUGUCCGUGUACGUGUUCAUCCUUCUAUCGCUACAUGUGCCACUGGUUAGUUGAGGUCACUCUUGGCCAACAACGUGGCGUCGGGAUGGUCGCCACGAUCAUGUUCUAUGCCGGCGAGGAGCGCAUGAGGGCCGUCGCCAUGCCUGACGCCCAUUGUAGGCUUCCUUCAGUGAGCACCGAUCUUUGUUGAAGCCGGCGGCGAGCUCACAUGCUUCUGAUAAGUAGCACUUCCUCUGUCCUAAGAGCGUUUUUGACACUGCACUAGUAUCAAAAACGUUUUUAUGGACAUAGGGAGUAGCAAACGUUGUGUGGUCCUUUACGGCGAGCCCAGUGCCCACUCCUAAGCUUGUUGCUCAAGGCCCGUGUUGUUCUCCAUGGCUUCACAACUUUCUGGUAAGUACUCCUUCUGUCCCAAAUAUGUGUCGUUGAUUUAGUAUAAUUUUAGUACAAAAUUGUACUAAGUCAGCGACACUUAUUUUGGGCCGGAUGGAGUAGCAAACUAGCAGCUGCUGCUCAUGUCUUAUUUCUCUUCACAACAGCACACACAAUGCAAUAUUGAGGGGUUAGUUUAACUUGGCUCAGAACACACCAGGCAAUGUGUGGCUGGAGCAAGAUCAAGCCAAAGAAAUCCCACGGUGGUCUCUGGCUAGAUAUUCAACUCCUUGUCUGCUUUAAAGAUUCUUAGGCAUGUGGCAAUGUGACUCGACUCCUUGCGAUGAAUUUAGUUUAAUGUGUUCUUGUUAAAUUUUGUUGGUUCGACUCAGAAAUUCCUGUUGCUGCUUGAAUUAUGCACCUGGAAUCUCCAUAACAAUUCUGCUUUCUGUAUCAUCCGAUGUACCUGGGGACUGGUGGACUCGUGGUGCUCCUCGGCAGCUAUGUCAAAGCUAUAUACCUGGGGAGGCAAAAUGUGGCGGCAAAAUUCAAAGCGAACGCUUUGUAUGGUUUAUUUUCAACAAAGGACUUUUGGCUCAAUAUUAUGCGAGUAACACAAUAAUUUGCUGCAAAUUUGUCCUUUUUUUUCUGAACGACCAGUCUAAAAAAACUUGUGUGCCACUCGAACAAAUUUAGACAUAUUGGGAACAAAAUAAACGUUACUCUGAAAAUAAAUUAAAUAAAUUUGUGCUGCAUUCAAGCGAAUUUCAGUUUGCAAUGGGAACAAUAUUCCAUUGUAUCGUGUAUAAUCUUGAAAGCGGAAGAGUGAGAAAUAAAUGUGGCAAUUCUGGAGUAAUUCUUAGGAGCAGUUGAAAGAUACUCCUGUACAAAACUAGUACUCCCUCCGUUCACUUUUGGAAGUCGUUUCAGACAACUUUGCACGCUGUCUGAAAUGUCUUAAACACCUUAUAAAAGUGAUAAGUGAACAGAGGGAGUAUGAGUUAUAACUUUUAUGCAGAAAACUACCGGUAAUGGCAGCACUUUAACUAUUUUCUCUGGCGACGAGGUUAACCCUCAUUUUUGUAUACUUGGACAAAGACAAAGGAGACUUUUGUCAAUGAGUAAUAGACUAAUAGUAGCACAGAGAGAACAAUAAAUAUAGUGCACUGCUGCAUUACAGCGAUAAAACCAACACCUAGCAGGUUAAAUAUCAUGCCUUGACAAGAGCCAGCCACCUAAUCACAAGUCAUGAACGAAAACACCUAGCACUAGCAGGUUACGAACCAAGUAAAUAUCAUGGAACACAAACUCCUAGCAGGUUGAUUAUCAUGUCACCACAAUAUUCAUCAUGAUACUACUUAGGUUCGCAAAACCAGCAGGUCCGCCAUCAGCCAAGAUCAUCUAUGAACCGUAUUUCUAGCAGCGGUCGAUGACAACAUGCCACAGCGUGCUCUUGAUGACUUUGAAGGUGCAGACGUCUCCUGCCUUGAGCUCGUUCUCCUUACAGAAGGCCUUCCAGCCUCUCGUAAGACAAUUAUAAGACCUGUUGGUGCCUGGAUGGUAGUUGACACCUUCCACCUCCCAAGACUUGUUCCUCUCCACGGACUUGAGCGUGAUCUUGCAACGCUCCAGGAAUCCGAAGCGUGCUGGAAAAUGCUGCAAGCCAUUGCGAUCGCACGGGUUAUUUGUAUCACAGUUCGUGGGUGUAUGAUGACAAA
rnacentral:lncRNA from 1 species